UUACGUUUCCGCCGGCCGGUGACUCAUUUCGCAAAAAUAAAAGAAAGAUAAUACUUAUGAUCCAAGCAAACACCGAUACAACGCCGGCUACAUAAAUCGAUCCAAGUUCAGGAUUACAUCAACACUGACAUCCAUCCAAAGUUCCCCCUCUCCAAAAUCUAAAAACGACGACACUUCACAAACUUAACACUCCAGAGUUCACACAUUUGUACUCUCCCAGCCGCCAAAUCACCACGGCCAGCAGCUUAAUCGACCUCCUCGAUCUUGGGCCCCGCACCGCUUCCCCCGGCCGGCGCAUCCUCAUCCAUGCCGGCGGCACCGCCCAUGCCUCCCAUGUCGGCGCCAGCGCCCUGGUACAUCUUGGCGAUGAUGGGGUUGCAGACGCCCUCCAGUUCCUUCAUCUUGUCCUCGAACUCGUCCGCCUCCGCGAGCUGGUUGGUGUCGAGCCAGCUGAUGGCGCCGUCGAUGGCGUCCUCGAUCUUCUUCUUGUCGUCGGCGGGGAGCUUGGACGCGAUCUUGUCGUCCUUGACGGUGUUCCUCAUGUUGUAGGCGUAGUUCUCCAGCGCGUUCUUGGCCUCCACCUUCUUCUUCAGCUCCUCGUCCUCGGCCUUGUACCGCUCCGCCUCCUGCACCAUCUUCUCGAUGUCCUCCUUGCUCAGCCGCCCCUUGUCGUUGGUGAUGGUGAUCUUGUUCUUCACGCCGGCGGUCUUGUCCUCGGCCGACACGUUCAGGAUGCCGUUGGCGUCGAUGUCGAAGCAGACGGUGAUCUGGGGCACGCCGCGGGGGGCCGGGGGGAUGCCGGACAGCUCGAACUUGCCCAGCAGGUUGUUGUCCUUGGUCCGCGCGCGCUCGCCCUCGAACACCUGGAUCAGGACGCCCGGCUGGUUGUUCGAGUAGGUGGAGAAUAUCUGCUCCUUCUUGGUCGGGAUGGUGGUGUUCCGCGGGAUGAGCGUCGUCAUCACGCCGCCGGCGGUCUCCAGGCCGAGGGACAGCGGCGUGACGUCGAGCAGGAGCAGGUCCUGCACCUUCUCGUUGCCCUCGCCGCUGAGGAUGGCGGCCUGCACGGCGGCGCCGUAGGCCACGGCCUCGUCGGGGUUGAUGCUCUUGCACAGCUCCUUGCCGUUGAAGAAGUCCUGGAGCAGCUGCUGCACCUUGGGGAUGCGGGUGGAUCCGCCGACGAGCACGACGUCGUGCACGGUGCUCUUGUCCAUCUUGGCGUCGCGCAGGCACUUCUCCACGGGCUCCAUGCACUUGCGGAACAGGUCCAUGUUGAGCUCCUCGAACCGAGCCCUGGUGAUGGUCGAGUAGAAGUCGACGCCCUCGUACAGGGAGUCGAUCUCGAUGGUGGUCUGGGCGGUCGACGACAGGGUGCGCUUGGCGCGCUCGCAGGCCGUGCGCAGCCGGCGCAGCGCGCGAGGGUUGCCGCUGAUGUCCUCUUGUGCUUGCGCUUGAACUCCUGGACGAAGUGGUUCACCAUGCGGUUGUCGAAGUCCUCGCCGCCGAGGUGGGUGUCGCCGGCGGUGGCCUUCACCUCGAAGAUGCCCUCCUCGAUGGUGAGCAGCGACACAUCGAACGUGCCGCCACCGAGGUCGAAGAUGAGCACGUUCUUUUCGCCAGAGCUGCUGGCCUUCUUGUCAAGGCCGUAGGCAAUGGCGGCGGCAGUGGGCUCGUUGAUGAUGCGCAUCACAUUGAGGCCGGCGAUGACCCCGGCGUCCUUGGUGGCCUGACGCUGCGAGUCGUUGAAGUAGGCCGGCACCGUGACGACGGCGUUCUUGAUGGUGGUGCCGAGGUAGGCCUCACCGAUCUCCUUCAUCUUGAUGAGCACCAUCGAGGAGAUCUCCUCGGCGGCGAACUGCUUCUCCUCGCCCUUGUACUGGACGACGAUCAUCGGUUUGUCAGCAGGGCCGGGGAUGACCUUGAACGGCCACAGCUUCAUGUCGCUCUGCACCGACGGGUCGGUGAACCGCCUGCCGAUCAACCGCUUGGCAUCUGCGAUGGAGAUGGAGCAGGAAUGUCAGUCAAACUGUUCGACUGGAUAAUUGACGCUCAAACUCAUAACAAAAGCAAACAAGCAGAGCAGCAGUAGAGCUUUGACAAGUCAAGGAACUGUUUAAAAGUCCCAAACAAGAAACCGAAAUUUACCCCCAAACAAAUUGUUCAGCUAACCCAGCAAGUUAUCUUCCUUCCCAUUGUUCAGCACAGAAAUCUUAAUCAGCAAUUUUUUACAGAAUCUCGCUGGAACUAAGCGGAUUUUAAUUCUAGAUCAGAUUGAUUGCAUAUAUUUCCGCCGGUUCUUCGAAUACAUGAGAAUGCAGAAUUGGACGACGCCAACUUGGCUCUACAUUCCUUUGCUACUCGUUAAGCUCAGUGAACAAACAAAUUUAGAAAACAAAAUUCAGACUACAUACUACAAUGAUCUGCAUUGCGGUACAUAAUCGCAUAAAAAACGCAUACACGCACAUAAUCGAGCACAGCAUCAACCGUAGCAGUACAAGCACGAACACGAGAUGAUCCAUCUAAGCUAGAAGAAGAGGAGCGGUGCAGGAGGACGUACCGAAGACGGUGUUGGUGGGGUUCAUGGCGACCUGGUUCUUGGCGGCGUCGCCGAUGAGGCGCUCGGUGUCGGUGAAGCCAACGUAGGAGGGCGUGGUGCGGUUGCCCUGGUCAUUGGCGAUGAUCUCCACUCGGUCGUGCUGCCACACGCCGACGCACGAGUAGGUGGUGCCCAGGUCGAUGCCGAUCGCUGGGCCCUCUCCUCCAUUCUUCGCCAUCUCCUCUCUAAGCUUGAAUGGGGAAACGGAAACUCGAAGGCGAAAUCGGAGCUAAGAACUCUACAGAUCUGAGAGAAAUCGCUUGCUUGCUUGCGAGUUGGGAAUCGCGAUGGAACUGAUGUGGGGAGGGACGAACGGGGGGCGCGAACGAUAUUGUAGAUCAGCCCUACAUUUGCCCAUUAUUGUAGAUCAGCCCUACAUUUGCCACAACGAUAUUCUUCACUAUUUGUAUUCUAGCCAUAGUUUAAAAAACCCGGACCGAACCGGCGGUCGAACCGGAAAAAAGGGAACCGGCGGCCUCAGCUGUUUUCUAAGCUAAUAAGACUGUUUUGCAAUCAGACCGGAGAAAACCGAUCGAACCGGCUGGUUUUCUGGAAAGCCGGUGAAAAAACCGGGCCAUUGAACCACGAAAAACCAAGAAAAUGUUUUAAUAAAAAUUGGGAAAGUGGGAUUCAAUUCCAUGUCGUGUGAGCAGUACGCGGGACCUCCUCACGGCCCAAUAACCAACUCGGAUGUGCUACUUUGUUGUCCACUGCAUGGAAAUAAUUUUAUUUGACCAUUGUUUCACACUAUAUUAGCGCAUAUAUUACUCAACAUAUAUUAUUUUAUUGCUUAAAAAACCGACAAUCGAACCGAUGAACCAGCGGUCCUAUCGGUAAAAACCUGAACCGACAACUUUUCCGGUUCGAUUUCCGGUCGAUUUUUUAAACUAUGAUUCUAGCAAGCAUUCGUACUCUUUGAUACUAUCACAUUUGCUUGAGUUGCUACUGCUGCUGUUGCUACUACUGUUGUUACCCUACUAUUAUUGCUAUCACUAUGCUAAUAAUAACUUUUCGUAUCAGCCAAGUAGUUGGCUUGUUUUUCUCUUUGUCGCUCUGAGGAACUGUCUCCUGGGAAGUGGGUUUGGCUGUACUAUUUUGUCGUAUUGGUGUUAGCUGGUUUUAGCCCUAGAAUUGGAGUUUCGAAUGUGAGCUCCAAGUGGCAGGUUUCCAGCUAGUGCUCCAACUCACUUUCUCCCCUCUACCUUAUUCUCCUAGUCAUGGUGUAGUCGCUACUUUAGGUUAUGGUAACAAACUUUGUAUUUUUGUUAAGAAAUUAAUGGAAAGGGGGAAAGGCCCGUUUGGAAAAAAAAUUGGUGCAAGGAAGUGAUUCUCGGGUGUGGUUGAAUCGAUAAGUCAGCUGGUAAGGCUUAUAAAUAUUCUUCGGCUUCCCUUAUGUCGAAUCAAUAUAUUUGGGAUAAAAUACUACUCCCGAAGACUGUUGCGAUCCCCUAUACUUCUGGGUCAUCGGGAGCAUGGUAGCAUGCAUCGUUGAGGGCCGAGAUGCACACACACGUUUAGAGCCAGGCCGAAGGGUGAGUAGUCAUGCACAUGCCAUGUGAAGCAUGAACCGCCAAUGAGGUAUUUUGUCACUUGGUAAAGUGCUCAAGACAUGUGCCUAUGGAAAACAUAGCAGAUGUGACCUCAUGAGACACCGAUGCAAAGGUGGAUGUGAGCAUGGAUAGGACGCCAACGUCAGAGGUAGGGGUCAGAAAUCAAUAGCCUUGGCGGUUGAUGUCUGCUACACAACAUUCUUCUUGUAGACUUGUGUUGGGCCUCCAAGCGCAGAAUUUUGUAGGACAGUAGCAAAUUUCCCUCAAGUGCAUGACCUAAGGUUUAUCAAUCCAUGGGAGGCGUAGGAUGAAGAUGAUCUCUCUCAAACAACCUUGCAACCAAAUAACGAAGAGUCUCUUGUGGUCCCCAACACACCCAAUACAAUGGUAUAUUGUAUAGGUGCACUAGUUCAACGAAGAGAUGGUGAUACAAGUGUAAUAUGGAUAGUAGAUAUAGUCUUUUGUAAUCUAAAAAUAUAAAAACAGCAAGAUAGCAAGUAACAAAAGUGAGCAAAAUGGUAUUGCAAUGCUCGGAAAUAAGGCCUAGGGUUCAUACUUUCUCUAGUGCAAGUUUUCUCAACAAUGAUAACAUAAUUAGAUCAUAUGGCAAACCCUCAACGUGCGAUAAAAGUCACUCCACAGUUCCUAUCGCGGAGAACAUAAGAUGAAAUUGCUUGUAGGGUUAAUCCAUUGAGCUAUUCCUAUAAGUGUCACAAACAACCCUAGAGUUCAUAGUAAAAUAACACCAUAUGAUACACAUCAAUCAACCCUAAUGUCACCUAGAUACUCCAAUGUCACCACAAGUAACCGUGGGUCAAUUAUACGAUAUGCAUCAAACAACUUCAGAUUCAUAAUAUUCAACCCAACACGAAGAACCUUAAAGAGUGCCCCAAGAUUCCUACCAGAGAAACAAGGACAAAAACGUGCAUCAACCCCUAUGCAUAGAUUACGCCAAUGUCACCUCGAGAAUCAGUGAGUUGGGUGCCAAAACAUACAUCAAGUGAAUCAAUAAAACACCCCAUUGUCACCACGGGUAUCCUACGCAAGACAUACAUCAAGUGUUCUCAAAUCCGCAAUAGUAUUCAAUCCGAUAAUAGUGAAACCUCAAAGGUAAAACUCAAUUCAUCAGAAGAAGGUAGAGGUGGAGAAACACCAUAUGAUCCAACUAUAAUAACAAAGCUCCCGGUACAUCAAGAUCGUGCCAUAUCAAGAAUACGAGUGAGAGAGGGAGAGGUCAAACACAUAGCUACUGGUACAUACCCUCAGCCCCGAGGGUGAACUACUCCCUCCUCUUCAUGGAGAGCACCGGGAUGAUGAAGACGACCAUCGGUGAUGGUUUACCCCUCCGGCAGGGUGCCAGAACGGGCUCCCGAUUGUUUUUUCAUUGCUACAGAGGCUUGCCGCGGCGGAACUCCCGAUCUAGGUUUCUUUCUGGGGGUUUCUGGAUUUAUAAGAAUUUUUGGCGUCGGUUUCACGUCAGGGAGGGUCCACGAGUCAGCGACAAGGCAGGGGGGCGCGCCCUAGGGGGGUGGGCACGUCCUCCAUCCUUGUUGUUGACUCGGGACUCUUCUGGCCCAACUCUUGUGCUUCGAGGGCUUCUUCUGGUCCAUAAAAAAUCACCGUAAAUUUCAGCUCGUUUGGACUCCGUUUGAUAUUCCUUUUCUCCAAAACUCAAAAACAAGGAAAAACAGAAACUGACACUGGGCUCUAGGUUAAUAGGUUAGUCCCAAAAAUAAUAUAAAAUAACAUAUUAAUGCUUAUAAAACAUCCAAAACAGAUAAUAUAAUAGCAUGGAACAAUCAAAAAGUAUAGAUACAUUGGAGACGUAUCAAGCAUCUCCAAGCUUAAUUCAUGCUCGUCCUCGAGUAGGUAAAUGAUAAAAACACAAUUUUUCAUGUGGAAUGCUACCUAGCAUAUUUUCCAAUGUAAUCUUCUCUAUUGUGGCAAGAAUAUUCAGAUCCAUAAGAUUUAAAACAAAAGUUUAAUAUUGACAUAAAAAUGAUAAUACUUUAAGCAUACUAAUAAAGAAAAUCAUGUCUUCUCAAACUAACAUAGCCAAAGCAAGCUAUCCCUACAAAAUCAUAUAGUCUGGCUAUGCUCCAUUUUCAUCACACAAAAUAUUCAAAUCAUGCACAACCCCAAUGACAAGCCAAGCAAUUGUUUAAUACUUUUGAUGUUGUCAAACUUUUUCAAUUUUCACGCAAUACAUGAGUGUGAUCCAUGGGUAUAGCACUAUAGGUGGAAUAGAAUAUGGUGGUUGCGGAGAAGACAAAAAUAAGGAGAUAGUCUCACAUCAACUAGGCGUAUCAACGGGAUAUAUAUGGAGAUGCCCAUAAAUAGAUAUCAAUGUGAGUGAGUAGGGAUUUCCAUGCAACGGAUGCACUAGAGAUAUAAGUGUAUGAAAGCUCAAAAAGAAACUAAGUGGGUGUGCAUCCAACUUGCUUGCUCAUGAAGAUCUAGGGCAUUUGAGGAAGCCCACCGUUGGAAUAUACAAGUCAAGUUCUAUAAUGAAAAAUUACCACUAGUAUAUGAAAGUGACAAAAUAGGAGACUCUCUAUCAUGAAGAUCAUGGUGCUACUUUGAAGCACAAGUGUGGAAAAAAGAUAGUAACAUUGCCCCUUCUCUCUUUUCUCUCGUUUUUUUCUUCUCUUUUUUUGAUUGGCUUCUUUGGCCUUUUUUUGUUGGCUUCUUUGGCCUCUCAUUAUCACACUUUUAUUUACUUACAACUCAGGAAUUACGACUCGAUACUUAGAACAAAAUAUAACUCUAUAUGAAUGCCUCCGGCGUUGUAUCGGGAUAUGCAAUGACUCAAGAGUGACAUGUAUGAAACUUAUGAAUGGUGGCUUUGCCACAAAUACUAUGUCAACUACAUGAUCAUGCUAAGCAAUAUGACAAUGAUGAAGCAUGUCAUAAUAAACGGAACAGUGGAAAGUUGCAUGGCAAUAUAUCUCGAAAUGGCUAUGGAAAUGCCAUAAUAGGUUGGUAUGGUGGCUGUUUCGAGGAAGGUAUAUGGUGGGUGUAAUGCACCGGCGAAAGUUGCGCGGUACUAGAGAGGCUAGCAAUGGUGGAAGGGUGAGAGUGCGUAUAAUCCAUGGACUCAACAUUAAAAGAACUCAUGCACUUAUUGCAAAAAUUUAGAAGUCAUCAAAAACCAAAGCACUACACGCAUGCUCCUAGGGGGAUAGAUUGGUAGGAAAAGACCAUCGCUCACCCCCGACUGCCACUCAUAAGGAAGACAAUCAAUAAAUAAAAUUGUGCUCUGACUUUAUCACAAAGUGGUUCACCAUACAUGCAUGCUACGGGAAUCACAAACUUCAACUCAAGCAUUCUUUAAAUUCAUAAUCACCCCAACUAGCAUUGCUUUGAUAUUAUCACUUCCAUAUAUCAAAACAAUUAUCAAGCAUCAAACUUAUCUUAGUAUUCAACGCACUCAAAAGAAAGUGUCACAAAUCUUGAAUACCAAGUAUAUUAUCUUUAAGCAAAUUACCAUGCUAUUAAAAACUCUCAAAAUAAUCUAAGUGAAUCAUAGUAUUCAAUGCACUUUAUAUGAAAGUUUUUAUUAGAUCCCUCUUGGAUGCCCAUCAUAUUAGGACUAAAUUCAUAACCAAAGCAAAUUACCAUGCUGUUUAAGACUCUCAAAAUAAUAUAAGUGAAUCAUGAGAGUUCAUCAAUUUCUUCAAAAUAAAAGCACCGUCGUGCUUUAAAAAUAUAUAAGUGAAGCACUAGAGCAAAUGACAAACUACUCCAAAAGAUAUAAGUGAAGAUUAAUGAGUAGUCGAAUAAUUAUGUAACUAUGUGAAGACUCUCUAACAUUUAAGAAUUUCAGAUCUUGGGAUAUUAUUCAAACAACAAGCAAAACAAAAUAAAAUAAAAUGACGCUCCAAGAAAAACACAUAUCAUGUGGUGAAUAAAAAUAUAGCUCCAAGUAAGGUUACCGAUGAACGAAGACGAAAGAGGGGAUGCCAUCUGAGGCAUCCCCAAGCUUAGUUGCUUGGUUGUCCUUGAAUAUUACCUUGGGGUGCCUUGGGCAUCCCCAAGCUUAGGCUCUUUCCACUCCUUAUUCCGUAACUUCACCCAAAACUUGAAAACUUCGCAACACAAAACUCAACAGAAAACGCGUAAGCUCCGUUAGUAUAAGAAAAUAAAAUCACCACUUUUGGUACUGUUGUGAACUCAUUAUUUAUUUAUAUUGGUGUUAUAUCUACUGUAUUCCAACUUCUCCAUGGUUCAUACCCUCCGAUACUACCCAUAGAUUCAUCAAAAUAAGCAAACAACACAAUGAAAACAGAAUCUGUCAAAAACUGAACAGUCUGUAAUAUUAUGGAAACUUCGUAUACUUCUGUAACUCAAAAAAUUCUGAAAAAUUAGGACAACGUAGAAAAUUUGUAUAUCAAUCUUGUGUAAAAAAUUCAGAUCAAAAGCACGUUCUAGUGAAUUUUCAAAAUUCCUGGACUGGGAGCAAAAGUUUCUAUUUUUGCACAGAAUCAAGUCAACUAUCAUCCACACUGUCCUAAAGGCUUUACUUGGCACUUUAUUGAAACAAAAGCUAUAAAACAUGAUUACUACAGUAGCAUAAUAAUGUGAACACACAAAAACAGUAGUUAGAAAUAUUGGAUUGUCUCCCAACAAGCGCUUUUCUCUAAUUCUUUUUUAGCUAGGCAUGAUGAUGUCAAUGAUGCUCACGUAAAAGAUAAGAAUUGAAACAUAGUCGGAGCAUAAUGAAGCAUAUGACUAGCACAUUUAAGUCUAACCCACCUAUGCAUAGGGUUUUUGUGAGCAAACAAUUUAUGGGAACAAGAAUCAACUAGCAUAGGAAGGCAAACCAAGCAUAACUUCAAAACUUUAAGCACAUAGAGAGGAAACUUGAUAUUAUUGCAAUAUGUAGAAGCACAUAUUCCUCUCUCAAAAUAAUUUUCAUUAGCAUCAUGAAUGAUUCACCAAUAUAACUAUCACAUAAAGCAUUCUUUUCAUGAUGCAUAAGCAUAGAAUUUUUAUUACUCUCCACAUAAGAAAAUUUCUUCUGAUGAAUAGUAGUGGGAGCAAACUCAACAAAUUAACUAUCAUGUGAGGCAUAAUCCAAUUGGAAAUUAAAAUCAAUAUGACAAGUUUCAUGGUAAUCAUUAUUAUUUAUAGCAUACAUGUCAUCAUAAUAAUCAUCAUAGAUAGCAACUUUGUUCUCAUAGCCAAUUGGAACCUCUUCCGAAAUAGUGGAUUCAUCACUAAUAAAGUCAUGAACUCUCCAAAUCCACUUUCAUAAUUAUCACAAUAAGAUUCAACACCCUCCAAAAUAGUGGGAUCAUUACUUCCUAAAGUUGACACUCUUCCAAACCCACUUUCAUCAAUAUACUCAUCAUAAAUAGGAGGCAUGCUAUCAUCAAAAUAAAUUUGAUCAUCAAAACUUUGGGGACUAGAAACAUCAUAUUCAUCAAACAUAGCAUCCCCAACCUUGUAGCUUUGCAUAUCAUUAGCAUCAUGGAUAUUCAAAGAAUUCAUACUAACAACAUUGUGAUCAUGCUCAUCAUACACAGAUUUUAUGCCAAACAUUUUAUAGACUUCUUCUUCUAACACUUUGGCACAAUUAUCGGAAUCCUUAUUUUCACGGAAGACAUUAAAAAGAUGAAGCAUAAGUGGCAACUGAAUUCCAUUUUUUUGUAGUUUUAUUUUAUAAACUAAACUAGUGAUAAAACAAGAAACUAAAAUAUUCGAUUGCAAGAUCUAAAGAUAUACCUUCAAGCACUCACCUCCCCAGCAACGGCGCCAGAAAAGAGCUUGAUGUCUAGUACGCAACCUUCUUCUUGUAGACUUGUGUUGGGCCUCCAAGCGUAGAGUUUUGUAGGAUAGUAGCAAAUUUCCCUCAGGUGGAUGACCUAAGGUUUAUCAACCCGUCGGAGGCGUAGGAUGAAGAUGGUCUCUCUCAAAUAACCCUACAACCAAAUAACAAAGAGUCUCUUGUGUCCCCAACACACCCAAUACAAUGGUAUAUUGUAUAGGUGCACUAGUUCGACGAAGAGAUGGUGAUACAAGUGUAAUAUGCAUGGAUAGUAGAUAUAGGUUGUAGUGAGACAAUAUAAAAACAACAAGGUAGCAAGUAAAAAAAGUGAGCAAAAACGGUAUUGCGAUGCUUGGAAACAAGGCCCAGGGUUCAUACUUUCACUAGUGCAAGUUCUCUCAACAAUGAUAACAUAAUUAGAUCAUAUGACAAUCCCUCAACGUGCGACAAAAGUCACUCCAAAGUUCCUAUCAUAGAGAACAUAAGAUGAAAUUGCUUGUAGGGUACGAAACCACUUCAUAGUUAUUCUUUCCGAUCAAUCCAUUGAGCUAUUCCUAUAAGUGUCACAACCAGCCCUAGAGUUCGUAGUAAAAUAACACCAUAUGAUACACAUCAAUCAACCCUCAUGUCACCUAGAUACUCCAAUGUCACCACAAGUAUCUAUGGGUCAAUUAUACGAUAUGCAUCAAACAACUUCAGAUUCAUAAUAUUCAAUCUAACGCAAAGAACCUCAAAGAGUGCCCCAAGAUUCCUACCAGAGAAACAAGGACGAAAACAUGCAUCAACCCCUAUGCAUAGAUUACCACAAUUUCAUCUCGAGAAUCCGCGAGUUGAGUGCCAAAACAUACAUCAAGUGAAUCAAUAGAAAACCCCAUUGUCACCAAGGGUAUCUCACGCAAGACAUAUAUCAAGUGUUCUCAAAACCAUAAUAGUAUUCAAUUCGAUAAUAGUGAAACCUCAAAGGUAAAACUCAAUUCAUCUAAAGAAGGUAGAGGGGGAGAAACACCAUAUGAUCCAACUAUAAUAGCAAAGCUCGUGGUACAUCAAGAUCGUGUCAUAUCAAGAACACGAGAGAGAGAGAGAGAUCAAACACAUAGCUACUGGUACAUACCCUCAGCCUCGAGGGUGAACUACUCCCUCCUUGUCAUGGAGAGCACCGGGAUGAUGAAGAUGGCCAUCGGUGAUGGUUUCCCCCUCCGGCAGGGUGCCGAAACGGGCUCCCAAUUGAUUUUUCAUGGCUACAGAGGCUUGCGGCGGUAGAACUCCCGAUCUAGAUUUCUUUCUGGGGUUUUUUGGAUUUAUAGGACUUUUGGCGUCGGUUUCACGUCAGGGGGGUCCACGAGUCAGCGACAAGGCAGGGGGCGUGCCCUAGGGGGGUGGGCAUGCCCUCCACCCUUGUCAUUGACUCGAGACUCUUCUGGACUAACUCUUGUGCUUAGGGGGCUUCUUCUGGUCCAUAAAAAAUCACCGUAAAUUUUCAGCUCUGUCGGUGUGAUAACCCACAAGUAUAGGGGAUCGCAACAGUUUUCGAGGGUAGAGUAUUCAACCCAAAUUUAUUGAUUCGACACAAAGGGAGACAAAGAGUAUUCUCAAGUAUUACCAGUUGAGUUGUCAAUUCAACCACACCGGGAUAACUUAGUAUCUGCAGAGAAGUAUUUAGUAGCAAAGUAGUAUGAUAGUAAUGGGAACAGUGGCAAGAGUAACGAUAGCAGUUUUGUAGUGAUUGUAACAGUAGCAACGGAAAAGUAAAUAAGCAAAGCACAAUAUGUGAAAAGCUCGUAGGCAUUGGAUCAGUGAUGGAUAAUUAUGUCGGAUGCAAUUCAUCAUGUAAUAGUUAUAACAUAGGGUGACACAGAACUAGCUCCAGUUCAUCAAUGUAAUGUAGGCAUGUAUUCCGAAUAUAGUCAUACGUGCUUAUGGAAAAGAACUUGCAUGACAUCUUUUGUCCUACCCUCCCGUGGCAGCGGGGUCCUAAUGGAAACUAAGGGAUAUUAAGGCCUCCUUUUAAUAGAGAACUAGACCAAAGCAUUAGCACUUAGUGAAUACAGGAACUCCUCAAACUACGGUCAUCACCGAGAAGUAUCCCGAUUAUUGUCACUUCGGGGUUGUCGGAUCAUAACACAUAAUAGGUGACUAUAGACUUGCAAGAUAAGAUCAAGAACUCACAUAUAUUCAUGAAAACAUAAUAGGUUCAGAUCUGAAAUCAUGGCACUCGGGCCCUAGUGACAAGCAUUAAGCAUAGCAAAGUCAUAUCAACAUCAAUCUCAGAACAUAGUUGAUACUAGGGAUCAAACCCUAAUAAAACUACCUUGAUUACAUGGUAAAACUCAUCCAACCCAUCACCGUCCAGCAAGCCUACAAUUGAAUUACUCACGCACGGCGGUGAGCAUCAUGAAAUUGGUGAUGGAGGAUGGUUGAUGUUGACGACAGCGACGAAUCCCCCUCUUUGGAGCUCCGAACGGAGUCCAGAUGAGCCCUCCCGAGAGAGAUUAGGGCUUGGCGGCGGCUCCAUAUCGUAAAACGCGAUGAAACUUUCUCUCCGACUUUUUUCUCCGUGAAACGGAAUAUAUAGAGUUGGAGGUGAGGUCGGUGGAGCAUUAGGGAGCCCACGAGAUAGGGGGCGCGCCCAGGGGGAGGGGGUGCGCCCCCACCCUCGUGGACAGGGUGUGGGCCCCCUGGCCUUGAUUCUUUCGCCAAUAUUUUUUAUAUUUUCCAAAAGUUAUCUUCGUGGAUUUUCAGGUCAUUCCGAGAAAUUUUGUUUUUUGCACAAUAAACAACACCAUGGCAGUUCUGCUGAAAACAGCGUCAGUCCGUGUUAGUUUCAUUCAAAUCAUGCAAGUUAGUGUCCAAAAGAAGGGCAAAAGUGUUUGGAAAAGUAGAUACAUUGGAGAUGUAUCACGGUGUACAUAAGUCUGGGCCUAUUUGUACCCUUUACUUGUGCACGGGCAAUUGUAGCUGUACCCGUGGCGAGGCUCGACGGGGCAGGAGAAGGCAAGAUACAAGACUACCAAGACAGCAUUCAAGGCAGUAAACAAAGAGCAGAAGACAAGCUAGACCUCCCCCGGCAACAUCCUUGCUGGGGCGGCUUGCGUAGCCCCGGCAAGAUCCUUGCCGGGACGACUUGCGAAGCACCAACAAGGCCACCACCCAUGAGGCUGAGAGCUCUAAAACCAUCGACAAUGUUAGGACCAAGACUCAUGGGCACAUGCGUAGUAGCAUGUAGAUCUUUGUGAAGACUGGUGGCAUGCAGGUGUUCAUGGUGACCAGAAGGCGAAGUCCCCCGGCAAGGCCCUUGCCAGGGACGACUACGAGGCCCCGGCAAGACCCUUGCCGGGAACAUCUGCGGGGCCACAGCUAGGCCCACACACGACAAGGUUUUGCCACCCCACGGCCGUUCUAGCGCAUCAACCAGCCUGCCAACUAGGCGAGCACUUGCAUGGUGGCAUGCAGAUCUUCGUGAAGAUCCCGCCACCGCGCUAGCACAGCGGCUGGCCAGCUAGCUUGGUGCAGCAUGCCUCGUCAGCCUGGACGCGUGUCAAGAUAGGGUGAGGCGGCGACGGAUGGGACUGGCUCUAUUACCGUCCCCGAUAAAGUUGGAGGGCACGUAAGCAACGCAUUUAAUGCGUUUGUCCUACAACGUCAGUGAUAAGCAUGUACACUAUAGCUACUUUACACCUCCUUUGUGCCACUGUGGCAACCCCUUUGGACGUAUAAAAGGAGGCCCAAGGCGUACUGGAGAGGGACUCAGACUUUUCGACCAGGGACGCAUAGCAGCUAGCUAGGGUUCAAGAACACUAAAUAUACACUCAAAGCAAGACUAGGGUUUUACGCUCCUCAACGGCCCGAACUUGGGUAAAAAUUCCUCGUGCUGAUCACUGGACCUACUCUUUGUGCAAUCCUGCUCCCCGCCAACCGUAGAAGGGAUCCUCGUGAUCCCAUAGUUGUCGUUUCCCCAACAUCUUUGGCGCGCCAGGUAGGGGGGCUGGUGGUGCAAAUCUGGUCCGGCAGUUAGUAUGUUAGUUUCUUCAUCACCAUGGCUCCGAAGAAGAAGACGAUCACGGCGAUCGGUUCGUCUGGAGCCAGUCUGCCCGUGCCGGCACGAACGAGCGACGGGGUAGACGCUGGUGGUGGAGGAGAUAAGACCAUCCACAUCAUUCUGGUACCAGGAGCCAGGCGAGCGGCAUCGUCCGUAGCCACGACUAUGAUCAACACGUCGCUGCAUCCAAGGACGAAGCCGUGCUGCCCAACGGCGGCGCGGGGACCUCCAAGGGUAGGAAGACACCUUCGCCGAUGCAUGCACCACGGUCCUCCCAGGUCGUGCGCGACGAGCAGCACCGCAACGCUGGUGACCCCAAGCGUCGCUGUGGCAAGAGCCCUCAGCAUCAUUCUUGAGAUGCGCAGGGCCAACAUGCACGCUAAAAUGCUAGUGAGAAAGGCGCGUGGCCGCGGAACCGUGAUGGGGUUCCUUCUAACGUAGUUAGAAGUACGAGCACCUCCCGUUCCUUGCGCUUGUCGCUGCCACCUACGCGAGCAGAAGCUUGGGACGAGGACAACUACUCCUCGACUUUCCUCCUGCUGCGGAGAAGCAAGAGGAGUGGAGGGCUACUAUCCAAAGCCUUAUUGGCCACACCAACAGGGAUGGCCACCAGGAGGCAAGUCCUUCGCUGCGCUGGAUCACCGAGCCGACGCAUGUCAACAGUGGAAGGGUUGGAGGCACCGCAAUGAUACGUCUCCGUCGUAUCUACUUUUUCAAACACUUUUGCCCUUGUUUUGAACUCUAACUUGCAUGAUUUGAAUGGAACUAACCCGGACUGACGCUGUUUUCAGCAGAACUGCCAUGAUGUUAUUUUUGUGGAGAAAUUAAAGUUCUCGAAUGACCUGAAAAUCCACGGAGCAACCUUUUGGAUUUAAUAAAAAAUACUGGCAAAAGAAUCAAUGUCAGGGAGCCCACACCCUAUCCACGAGGGUGUGGUGCGCUCCCCCCCCUAGUGCAUGCUCCCCUGCCUCGUGGAACCCCUGAGGCUCCACCGACCUCAACUCCAACUCGAUAUAUUCACGUUCGGGGAGAAAAAAAUCAGAGAGAAAGAUUCAUUGCAUUUUACAAUACAAAGCCGCCGCCAAGCCCUAAACUCUCUCGGGAGGGCUGAUCUGGAGUCCGUUCGGGGCUCCGGAGAGGGGGAUCCGUUGCCUUCGUCAUCAUCAACCAUCCUCCAUCACCAAUUUCAUGAUGCUCACCGCCGUGCGUGAGUAAUUCCAUUGUAGGCUUGCUGGACGGUGAUGGGUUGGAUGAGAUUUACCAUGUAAUUAUGUUAGUUUUGUUAGGGUUUGAUCCCUAGUAUCCACUAUGUUCUGAGAUUGAUGUUGCUAUGACUUUGCUAUGCUUAAUGCUUGUCACUAGGGCCCGAGUGCCAUGAUUUCAGAUCUGAACCUAUUAUGUUUUCAUGAAUAUAUGUGAGUUCUUGAUCCUAUCUUGCAAGUCUAUAGUCACCUAUUAUGUGUUAUGAUCCGUUAACCCCGAAGUGACAAUAAUCGGGAUACUUACCGGUGAUGACUGUAGUUUGAGGAGUUCAUGUAUUCACUAUGUGUUAAUGCUUUGGUCCGGUACUCUAUUAAAAGGAGGCCUUAAUAUCCCUUAGUUUCCAAUAGGACCCCGCUGCCACGGGAGGGUAGGACAAAAGAUGUCAUGCAAGUCCUUUUCCAUAAGCACGUAUGACUAUAUUCGGAAUACAUGCCUACAUUACAUUGAUGAACUGGAGCUAGUUCUAUGUCACCCUAUGUUAUAACUAUUGCAUGAGGAAUCGCAUCCGACAUAAUUAUCCAUCAUUGAUCCAAUGCCUACAAACUUUUCACAUAUUUCUCUUUGCUUAUUUACUUUACCGUUGCCACUGUUACAAUUACUACAAAACCGCUAUUGUUACUUUUGCAACUGUUACCGUUACAUCUAUACUACUUUGCUACUAAAUACUUUGCUACAGAUACUAAGUUAUCCUGGUGUGGUUGAAUUGACAACUCAAUUGCUAAUACUUGAGAAUAUUCUUUGGCUCCCCUUGUGUCGAAUCAAUAAAUUUGGGUUGAAUACUCUACCCUCGAAAACUGUUGUGAUCCCUUAUACUUGUGGGUUAUCAAGACUAUUUUCUGGCGCCGUUUCCGGGGAGCAUAGCUCUAUUCUUUGAGUCACUUGGGAUUUAUAUAUGCUUGUCACUAUGAGGAACUUGAAAGAUGAAAGAACUAAGAUUUAUCCCUCAACUACGAGGGGAGGUAAGGAACUGCCAUCUAGCUCUACACUUGAUUCUCCUUCUAUUAUGAGUAAACCUACGACACCUAAAUCUACUUCUACUAUUAAUUAUGAUAUGUCGCAUGAUUGAUGAUGCCACUUCUGCUAUGCAUGAUACUUAUGAUGAAAACUACUUCUAUGCUUGAUAAUAUUGUGCCAUUAGGUGAUUUUCUUGAUGAACAACUUGCUAGGGCUAGAGAGAAAGAAAUUAUUGAAACUAAUAAUAUUGAUGAAAGUGAUGAUGAAGGUUCUCCCCCUAAAUAUUAAUUGCCUAUUGUGCCUGAGGGUUAUGUUAUGGAUGAAGAAACUACUAGAUAUUUUCUUGCUUGUAGUGAUAGAUCUGAUCUUAAGAAGUUAUUAGCUAAGCUGAAACAAAAGUCUCUGAAUGCUAGAAUGAAAUAUGACCCUGCUUUUGCUACUUCACCUAUCUGUGUUACUGAUAAGGAUUAUGAUUUCUCUGUCGAUCCUGAGAUAAUUACUUUGUUUGAAUGUAAUCCUUUUUAUGGCUAUGAAUCUCAAACUGUUGUGGCACAUCUUACUAAGUUAAAUGAUAUAGCUACCCUGUUCACUAAUGAUUGAGAAAUCUCGCUAUUACUACCUUCUUAAGAUAUUUCCGUUCUCAUUAAAGGGUGAUGCUAAAACAUGGUUUAAUUCUCUUGAUCCUGGUUGUGUGCGUAGUCCCCAGGAUAUGAUUUAUUACUUCUCUGCUAAAUAUUUCCCUGCUCAUAAGAAACAAGCUGCUUUAAGGGAAAUAUAUAAUUUUGUGCAAAUUGAAGAAGAGAGUCUCCCACAAGCUUGGGGGAGGCUUCUCUGAUUACUUAAUGCUUUGCCUAAUCAUCCUCUUAAGAAAAAUGAAAUACUUGAUAUCUUUUAUAAUGGACUAACCGAUGCUUCCAGAGACCACCUAGAUAGUUGUGCUGGUUGUGUUUUUAGGGAAAGAAAUGUCAAUCAAGCUGAAUUAUUAUUGAAUAAUACGUUGAGUAAUGAAAACAAUUGGACACUUCCUGAACCAACUCCUAAGCCAAUUCCGAAGAAAAGAGGUGUUCUAUUUCUCAGUCCUGAAGAUAUGCAAGAGGCAAAGAAAUCUAUGAAAUAAAAAGGUAUUAAAGCUGAAGAUGUUAAGAAUUUACCUUCUGUUGAAGAAAUACAUGGCCUUAAUAUACCACCUAUCGAAUAAAUACAUGGUAUUGAUAACCCAACACAGGUAGUAAAGGUAAAUUCUCUCUAUAGUAUGAUAAAGUUGAAAUCCCGUCUACUAAGUUUGCUAGCCAAUGCUUGGAUGAAUCUGAUGACUUUAUGGCUAAACAACAAAACUUCAAUGCUUAUGUUGGUAGACAAUUGAAAAGUAAUGCUUAUAUGAUUGGAUACUUGAGUGAUUAUAUGUCUAGAGUUAAGAAUGAACUUAAACUCAUUAGUAAACAUGCUUCUAUGGUUACCACUCAAGUAGAACAAGUGCUUAAGGCUCAGAAUGAUUUGCUCAAUGAAUAUAAUAAUAAACAUGACUUUGUUGUUACAGUAGCAACUAGAACGGGUAAAAUGACUCAGGAACCUUUGUAUCCGAAGGGCCACCCUAAGAGAAUUGAGCAAGAUUCUCAGAGAAAUAAUGUAGAUGAACCUAGCCCUUCUAAAAAGAAGAAGAAGAAAAAUGAUAAGACUUUGCAUGCUUCUAGUGAACCUGUUAUAGACACACCUGAGAAUCCCAAUGAUAUUUCUAUUUCUGAUGCUGAGACACAAUCUGGUGAUGAACAUGAACCUAGUGAUAAUGUUAAUGAUAAUGUUCAUGUUGAUGCUCAACCUUGCAAUAAUAAUGAUGUAGAGAUUGAACAUCCUAUUGAUCUUGAUAACCCACAAUCAAAGAAUCAACGUUAUGAUAAGAGAGACUUUGUUGCUAGGAAGCACGGUAAAGAAAGAGAACCAUGGGUUCAGAAACCCAUGCCUUUUCCUCCUAAACCAUCCAGGAAGAAGGAUGAUGAGGAUUUUGAGCGCUUCACUGAAAUGAUUAGACCUAUCUUUUUGCGUAUGCUUUUAAAUGAUAUGCUUAAAGUUAAUCCUUAUGCUAAGUACAUGAAAUAUAUUAUUACAAAUAAAAGGAAGAUACCAGAAGCUGAAAUUUCCACCAUGCUUGCUAAUUAUACUUUUAAAGGUGGGAUACCUAAGAAACUAGGAGAUCCAGGAGUACCAACUAUACCAUGCUCCAUUAAAAGAAACUAUGUUAAAACUGCUUUAUGUGAUCUUGGGGCUGGUGUUAGUGUUAUGCCUCUCUCUUUAUAUCAUAGACUUGAAUUGAAUAAGUUGUCACCGACUGAAAUAUCUUUGCAAAUGGCCGAUAAAUCAACCGCUAUACCUGUCGGUAUUUGUGAGGAUGUGCCUGAUGUGGUUACAAACGUUACUAUCUUAACAGACUUUGUUAUUCUUGAUAUUCCUGAGGAUGAUAGUAUGUUGAUUAUCCUUGGUAGACCCUUUCUGAAUACUGCAGGGGCUGUUAUUGUUUGCAACAGAGGCAAUGUCACUUUUCAUGUUAAUGGCAAUGAGCAUAUGGUACACUUUCCGAGGAAACAACCUCAAGUUCACAGUAUCAGUUCUAUUGGAAAAAUUCCAUCGAUUACUAUUGGAUGUUUUGAAUUUCCUCUUCCUACUGUCAAGAAGAAAUAUGAUAUUAUUAUUAUUGGGGAUGUUCAUAUCCCCGUUGAGGUAACCUAGUGUUAUUCGAAAUUUCUCCGGUUCCAUGUUAUUCGGAAUGAGUUCGUUAACAAGACUUGAUCAACCUUGUUAGUGGAUUCCUUUUGACAAGCAUGAGAUGGAUGAAGUUAGAAGGCACAACCUUCUGUACCUCCUUUUUACUUUCUAUUAUUUAUAUUAAAUAAAGCAAAAAUAGUAUUUUCCGUCUGUUUUCUGAAUUAUCCAUUUAAUAAAAAAUACCCUGAAAAUAAAAGUUCUCCAAAUGCCCUGAAAAUUUAAUAUGAUUUUUUUUGAAAAAUAUCUGGCACUGAGAACACAGCAGGGGGAGAAAGCACCUGGCCUUGAGGGUCCAAGGCGCGCCCACCCCCCUGGGGCACGCCUCCCUGCUUCAUGGGCACCUGGUGGCCCCCCUCCACUUAUUCCUGCACCUAUACUCUUCUUCUUCCUCCCCAAAAAAUCACUAUCCAGCUCAAGCAUGAGUUCUAGCUCAUUUUGCUGCCAUUUGCGAUCUCCUUGCUCAAAGCUCCAUUCACAAAACUGCUUUGGGGGAUUGUUCUUUGGUAUGUGACUCCUCCAAUGGUCCAAUUAGUUUUUGUUCUAGUACUUUAUUCAUUGCGAAUUUUUGCUGCCUAGGUGACCCUAUUCUUGAGCUUGCAUGUCAAAUUUAUAUGGUCCCAAGUAGUUCUAAUGCAUGAUAUAGUCUGUAGGCACUUGUGGGAGUAGUUGCUAUCAAUUUUGUUGAGUUUGGUUCACUUUUAUUUUGAGUUACUAAAAAUUUCAGAAAUUUUUCGGAGGAAGAGAUAUGUCUAGGAAAAUGUACCAAGGUGGUUCUUCAAGGAAGCAAGGACCCAGGCUCGCAAUACGUGAUCAGGACGAUGAACCACCGAGGGAAGCUUACGUGCAACCUUGUGAAUGGCCGUCAGAGGAGUUUAUGGUCAAAGCAGGCAUCAAGGAUGAAUUUGAGGCAUAUGUGCGUAAUGAUGAUCUUGAGGACUUCAUGCAAGAUAAGUGCCCUCAAUACUACCAUUUAGCUGAUUCCUUUGUAAGAAGGUUUAAAUUUACAUCUUCGUGCAAUUCUCGCAAUAUCUUGUUUGAUCUUUAUGAUAAAUCCUAUACCAUGGACUUAGAAGAUUUUACUACCGCUUGUAAACUCCCGCAAUGGGGUAGUGCUAGUGAACCUCGCAAAUCUGAAUUUAAAGAUUUUCUUGCUAGUAUCACUGUGGGGGAAUCCAGAGAAAUAUCACAAGCUACCAUAGGGAGCAUUCAUUUUCCUGCUAUACAUUAUUUUGCUCCCUUUAUAGGUAGAUGCAUAAAUGGUAAGGAUGAGGCAUGUCACAUGUGUGUUCCUGAUCUUAGUGUUCUCAGGAGUGCGGUGUUAGGAGAUAAACAAUAUAACCUGGGGGCCUUCAUUGCAUGUAGGUUGCAUAAUAAUGGUUUAAUUGGAGACUUGUUUGGUGGGAUUUAUGCACCGUGUAGCUAAUUUUCUUGAGAUACCCAUACAUGAAGGGGAUAUGGAGUUGCCUCCUGCUUAUCUAGAUUAUAAUGCCAUGGUUAACCAUCAGUUUCUUGAGAGGAAUGAACAAAUCCUCCAGUAUCGACUAAUCUUUGACAGGCGUCGCGCUGUCCAUAUUACUCUCCCUGCUCCUCUUUUCUUUGACUAUCAAGCAAAAAGAAGAUAUGUCAUAACUAGGGAGGAGGCGAACAAGUAUGAGAGGAGGACGGAGGCAGCUCGCCUCCAAGCUGCAGCUCAGGAAGCAAUAGCUGUUGCAUCUCGGUACAACCCCAGGUACAACUAUAAUCCAUGGGCAUAGACGAACUUAGGCCAAAAGCCUAAGCUUGGGGGAGUACGUAUUUCUCACCGACAUCACAUUCAUGUUCACACACUGAUUCCAGUUGUCGGUGCUCAUACUUUUUCAUUGUACUAUCCAUGCUAGUUUAGUUUCUUUUUCUAGCUUUAUUCUUGUGUGUUUGAUAAACCUUAAGAAGAACCAAAAAAAAUUAGUUAUAGCUUUUAGCUAGUUUACUUUCCAUGCUUGUAGUAGUAAUAUUAAAAGAAAACCCAAAAAGAUUUAUCAUUCUUCUUUUGCUUGUUGGGAGCUUUCCCAUGUAAAUAGUUUUAUUUCUUUUCUUUGGGGGUCGAGAGAGAAGACCAUGAUGAAAAUGUUGAGUGGAUCUCAUAUGCAUUAUUGUUGAUUUAACCAAGAGCCCAUAUUACCUUGUCUUCUCCUUUGAAUUGAAUGCUUGUAGAUUCCACCUUAGUCCAAUGCAUGUGCACUAUUAUUGUUAUCCACACCGUUCGGUCAUGCGAGUGAAAGGCAAUAAUGACGAUAUAUGAUGAAAUGAUUGAGAAGAGAGAAGAUGGUAUGAACUCGACCUCUCUUGUUUUUGUAAAUAUGAUUAGUUCAUCGUUCCUGAUUCAGCUUAUUAUGAAUAAACAUGUUUGCAAUGACAAUUAGAGAUUAUAGUUGCUUAUGCCAUGCUUAAUUAGCUAGGAGUUUAUAAUGGUUUACCUGGCGUGCCAACAUGCUAUGAAAAUGGUUAUGAUGUGGUAUGAUAGGGUGGUAUCCUCCUUUGAAUGAUUCGAGUGACUUGACUUGGCACAUGUUCACGCAUGUAGUUGAUACAAAAUCAACAUAGCCUUCACGAUAUUUAUGUUCAUGGUGGAUUAUGUCCUACUCAUGUUUGCACUCAGUGUUGAUUAAUUUUAAUGCAUGAUCAUGACUGUUGUCGCUCUCUAGUUGGUCGCUUCCCAGUCUCUUUCUAGCCUUCACUUGUACUAAGAAGGACUACUGCUUGUGCAUCCAAAAUCCAUAAACCCCAAAGUUAUCCCAUAUGAGUCCACCAUACCUUCCUAUAUGCAGUAUCUACCUGCCGUUCCAAGUAAAUUUGUAUGUGCCAAACUCCAAACCUUCAAAUGAAAUUCUGUUUUGUAUUCUCGAACAACUCAUGUAUCAACUAGGGAUGUCUGUAUCUUCCAUGCUAGGCAGGUUAUUCUCAAGAGGAGUGGACUCCGCUCCCCACUCAUGAGAAAAUGGCUGGUAACCGGGAUGCCCAGUCCCAUGCUCAAAUUAAAUCAAAAUAAUUGCAAACAAAACUCCCCCAGGAUUGUUGUUAGUUGGAGGCACCCGUUGUUUCGGGCAAGCCAUGGAUUGAUGAUUGUUGGUGGAGGGGGAGUAUACACUUUACCAUUCUGUUUGGGAACCGCCUAUAAUGUGUGUAGCAUAGAAGAUAUCGAGAUCUCUUGGUUGUUAUGUUGACAAUGAAACUAUGCCGCUCAAAAUAUUAUUUAUCUCUAUUUCAAAAUCGAGCUCUGGCACCUCUACAAAUCCUGCUGUCAUUUGCAUGCAUUACUAUUAAUUUAUAUUGGGUAUGACUAUGACUGGAUCUCUUUUACUAUGAAUUACAAUGUUUAGUCAGUCCUUGAUCUUCAGAGGUGCUCUGCAUUUAUGUUUUGCGGUCUUAGAAAGGGCUAGCGAGAUACCAUCAUGUUAUAUCAUAUUAUGAUUGUUUUGAGAAAGUGUUGUCAUCCGAGUUUUAUUAUUAUUGCUCGCUAGUUGAUUAUGCCAUUGAUAUGAGUAAACAUGAGACCUAAGUGUUAUUGUGAAUAUGGUUAGUUCAUAAUCUUUGCUGAAAACUUGAAUGCUGGCUUUACAUAUUUGCAACAACAAGAGCAAACAGAGUUUGUAAAUUUUUUUCUUUAUCACUUUCAGUUUAUCAACUGAAUUGCUUGAGGACAAGCAAAGGUUUAAGCUUGGGGGAGUUGAUACGUCUCUGUCAUUAUCUAGUUUUCGAAACACUUUUGCCCUUGUUUUGGACUCUAAUGUGCAUGAUUUGAAUGGAACUAACCCGGACUGACGCUGUUUUCAGCAGAACUGCCAUGGUGUUAUUUUUGUGCCGAAAUAAAAGUUCUCGGAAUGACCUGAAAAUCCACAGAGCAACUUUUUGGAUUUAAUAAAAAAAAUUGGCAAAAGAAUCAAUGUCAGGGGGCCCACACACUGUCCACCAGAGUGGGGGCGUCCCCCCUUGGGCGCGCCCCCUGCCUCGUGGGCCCCCUGAGGCUCCACCGACCUCAACUCCAACUCCAUAUAUUCACAUUCGGGGAGAAAAAAUCAAAGAGAAAGAUUCAUCGCGUUUUACGAUACGGAGCCGCCGCCAAGCCCUAAACUCUCUCAGGAGGGCUGAUCUGGAGUUCGUUCGGGGCUCCGGAGAGGGGGCUCCAUCGCCGUCGUCAUCAUCAACCAUCCUCCAUCACCAAUUUCAUGAUGCUCACUGCCGUGCGUGAGUAAUUCCAUUGUAGGCUUGCUGGACGGUGAUGGGUUGGAUGAGAUUUACCAUGUAAUUAUUUUAGUUUUGUUAGGGUUUGAUCCCUAGUAUCCACUAUGUUCUGAGAUUGAUGUUGCUAUGACUUUGCUAUGCUUAAUGCUUGUCACUAGGGCCCGAGUGCCAUGAUUUCAGAUCUGAACCUAUUAUGUUUUCAUGAAUAUAUGUGAGUUCUUGAUCCUAUCUUGCAAGUCUAUAGUCACCUAUUAUGUGUUAUGAUCCGUUAACCCCGAAGUGACAAUAAUCGGGAUACUUACCGGUGAUGACUGUAGUUUGAGGAGUUCAUGUAUUCACUAUGUGUUAAUGCUUUGGUCCGGUACUCUAUUAAAAGGAGGCCUUAAUAUCCCUUAGUUUCCAAUAGGACCCUGCUGCCACGAGAGGGUAGGACAAAAGAUGUCAUGCAAGUUCUUUUCCAUAAGAACGUAUGACUAUAUUCGGAAUACAUGCCUACAUUACAUUGAUGAACUGGAGCUAGUUCUAUGUCACCCUAUGUUAUAACUAUUGCAUGAGGAAUUGCAUCCGACGUAAUUAUCCAUCACUGAUCCAAUACCUACGAGCUUUUCACAUAUUGCUCUUUGCUUAUUUAUUUUACCGUUGCCACUAUUACAAUUACUACAAAACUGCUACUGUUACUUUUGCCACUGUUACCGUUACUUCCAUACUACUUUGCUACUAAAUACUUUGCUGCAGAUACUAAGUUAUACAGGUCUGGUUGAAUUGACAACUCAAUUGCUAAUACUUGAGAAUAUUCUUUGGCUCCUGAGGGAGUCCUGGAUUAGGGGUGUCCGGAUAGCCGGACUACCAUCAUCAGCCGAACUAUCAUCGGCCGGACUAUCAUCAUCGACCGGACUCCAAGACUAUGAAGAUACAAGAUUGAAGACUUCAUCCCAUGUCCGGAUGGGACUUUCCUUGGCGUGGAAGGCAAGCUUGGCGAUACGGAUUCGUAGAUCUCCUACCAUUGUAACCGACUCUAUGUAACCCUAGCCCUCUCCGGUGUCUAUAUAAACCGGAUGGCUCUAGUCCGUAGGACACAACAACAACCAUUACAAUCAUACCAUAGGCUAGCUUCUAGGGUUUAGCCUCCUUGAUCUCGUGUAGAUCCACUCUUGUAAACAUCCACAAUAUCAAUAUCAAUCAAGCAGGACGUAGGGUUUUACCUCCAUCAAGAGGGCCCGAACCUGGGUAAAACAUCGUGUCCCUUGUCUCCUGUUACCAUCCGCCUAGACGCACAGUUCGGGACCCCCUACCCGAGAUCCGCCGGUUUUGACACCGACAUUGGUGCUUUCAUUGAGAGUUCCUCUGUGUCGUCAUCGAUAGGCUUGAUGGCCUCUUCAAUCGACAACGAUGCAGUCCUGGGUGAGCCUUUUCUCCCCGGACAGAUCUUCGUAUUCGGCGGCUUCGCACUGCGGGCCAACUCACUUGGCCAUCUGGAGCAGAUCGAAAGCUACGCCCCUGGCCGUCAGGUCAGGUUUGGAAGCCUAAACUUCACGGCCGAUAUCCGCGGGGACUUAAUCUUCGAUGGAUCUGAGCCACAGCCGAGCGUGCCGCGCUGUCACGAUGGGCAUGACCUAACUCUGCCGCCGGACAGCACCUUGGAGGCCGCACACGAAUCCGCUCCGACCCAUAGUUCGGAGCCGAUCGCUCAGAUCGAUGACGGAUGGCUGGACACUGCCUCGAGAGCUGCAACUUCUACGGCGAUGGAGCCGAACACUUACCUUGUCCCGCAUAAAGCUCAUGACUCCGAGGUGCUGGACUCUCUGCCGGACUCCGAACCUCCUGCGCCCCUGCCAGUCGAAUCCGAUUGGGCGCCGAUCAUGGAAUUCACCGCUACGGACAUCUUUCAGCACUCGCCCUUCGACGAUAUCUUAAAUUCGCUGAAGCAUCUCUCGCUAUCCGGAGAGCCCUGGCCGAACUACGGCCAGGAUGGUUGGGACGCGGACGACGAAGAAAUUCAGAGCCCACCCACCACCCACUUCGUAGCCACCGUCAACGAUCUAACCGACGUACUCGACUACGACUCCGAAGACAUCGACGGUAUGGACGACGAUACCGGAGACUAUCAAGAACUAGUGCCUACAGGACACUGGAAGACUACCUCGUCCUACGACAUAUACAUGGUGGACACCCCAAAAGAUGGGGACGGCGAAGAAGCAACGGAGGCCGAUUCCUUAAAGAAAUAGCCCAAGCGCCGACGUCAGCGGCGGCGCUCUAAAUCACGCCACAGCAAGAAUGGAGAUUCCGGCACAGGAGAUAAUAACACCCCAGAAAGUGCUGAAGACAACCCCCUCCAACACGAUCCAGCGCAGGAGGAGGCAGAAGCAAGCCCUCACGAGAGGGCGACAGACGAAGAGGUCGAGGAUGAUAAUUACUUACCUCCCUCCGGAGACGAGGCAAGCCUCGACGAUGACGAAUUCAUCGUGCCUGAGGAUCCCGUCGAACAAGAGCAUUUCAGAUGCAGGCUAAUGGCCAUGGCAAACAGCCUAAAGAAAAAGCAGCAACAGCUCCAAGCUGAUCAAGACCUACUGGCCGACAGAUGGACUGAGGUCCUCGCGGCCGAAGAGUAUGAACUCGAACGCCCCUCCAAAAUUUACCCAAAAUGCAAGUUGCUCCCCCGACUAGAGGAGGAAGCGUACAAACCUGCAUCACCAGCGCACAAUAUGGCAGACCGACCACCUCGUGGCCGCGACAGAGAGGCAUGCAAGCCCUCCACCAAAACCGUACCCCGGCAUCGCUCAAAAAGCAUGAAGCCACGGGGGAACGGGCCGGACUUGCAGGAUAUAUUGGAGGACAAGGCAAGACAAUCCAGAUCUAUCUAUGGAUCACGUGGGCGCCCCAAGACCCAUGAUGAAUACCGUCGCGCCGGAUACAACUACUCCGGCUGGGCCGAACACAGCAGACAAUGCUCUCUCGAGCUACGUUGCGAUAUUUCUCAAUACAGAGGCGCCGCGCACCCACUAUGCUGACGAAGUAAUGGAUCAUCAAAUCCCUGAAGGAUUUAAACCCGUUAAUAUAGAAUCCUACGAUGGCACAACAGACCCCGCGGUUUGGAUUGAGGAUUAUCUCCUCCAUAUACAUAUGGCCCGCGGCGAUGAUCUUCACGCCAUCAAAUAUCUCCCGCUCAAGCUUAAAGGACCAGCUCGGCAUUGGCUUAACAGCCUGCCCGCAGAGUCAAUUGGAUGCUGGGAAGACCUGGAAGUCGCAUUCCUCGACAACUUCCAGGGCACGUAUGUGCGACCACCGGACGCAGAUGACCUAAGACACAUAAUCCAGCAGCCAGACGAAUCGGCCAGGCAAUUCUGGACACGAUUCUUAACAAAGAAAAAGUAAAUCGUCGACUGUCCGGAUGCAGAGGCCCUCGCUGCCUUCAAACAUAACAUCCGCGACGAGUGGCUGGCACGGCACCUAGGACAGGAAAAGCCGAAAUCCAUGGCAGCCCUCACAUCACUCAUGACCCGCUUCUGUGCGGGAGAGGAUAGCUGGCUAGCUCGCAGCAGCAACCUCAGCAAAAAUGCUGGCAGUCCGGAUACCAAGGACCGCAAUGGCAGGUCGCGUCGAAACAAAAACAAACGCCGCAUUAACGGCGACAGCAAUGAGGAUACGGUAGUCAACGCCGGAUUCCGAGGCUCCAAGCCCGGUCAACGGAAGAAGCCAUUCAAAAGAACCACUCCGGGCCCGUCCAAUUUGGACCGAAUACUCGACCGCUUCUGUCAAAUACAUGGAACCCCCAAAAAGCCAGCUAACCACACCAACAGAGAUUGUUGGGUAUUCAAGCAGGCAGGAAAAUUAAUCUCCGAAAACAAUGACAAGGGGCUACAUAGCGAUGACGAGGAAGAGACCCGGCCGUCGAACAACAGAGGACAAAAGGGAUCCCCCCCUCAAGUUCGGACGGUAAACAUGAUAUACGCAACACAUAUACCCAAGAGGGAGUGGAAGCGUGCACUAAGGGACGUAUACGCGAUGGAGCCAAUCGCCCCAAAAUUCAACCCAUGGUCCUCUUGCCCGAUCACUUUUGAUCGAAGAGACCAUCCGACCAGUAUCCGCCAUGGCGGAUUCGCCGCAUUGGUUUUAGACCCAAUCGUCAAUGGAUUUCACCUCACGAGAGUCCUGAUGGACGGCGGCAGUAGUCUGAACCUACUUUAUCAGGAUACAGUGCGCAAGAUGGGCAUAGACCCUUCAAGGAUUAAACCUACAAAGACAACCUUCAAAGGCGUCAUACCAGGUGUCGAGGCCAGUUGUAGAGGCUCAGUUACACUGGAAGUGGUCUUCGGAUCCCCGGAUAAUUUCCGAAGCAAGGAGUCAAUCUUCGACAUAGUCCCAUUCCGCAGUGGCUAUCACGCUCUGCUCGGACGAACCGCGUUCGCAAAAUUCAACGCGGUGCCGCAUUAUGCAUACCUUAAGCUCAAGAUUCCAGGCCCUCGUGGAGUCAUCACGGUCAAUGGAAACACGGAACACUCCCUCCGAACGGAGGAACAUACAGCGGCUCUCGCGGCAGAAGUACAGAGCAGCCUUUUAAGGCAAUUUUCGAGUCCGGCCGUUAAACGACCGGACACGGCCAAACGCGCCCGGAGCAACAUCAACCAAGACCACCUGGCACGUUCCGAGCACGCGUAGCAAUGCGGCCUCAACCCCAGCCCUCGCACAAUUGUAAGACAAACUCUCCGCAUACAUAAUUACGCCCUGGAGAUACCAUGGGCAUAGGGGGAGAGGCACAACCACAACAGACCCAGAGUGCGGUUCGACCACACCAGGGGCUCCCAAGUGUGUCUCUCUUUUUAUCUUUUAUUUCUCUCUUUUUUAUACAGAACUCUGUCCGGCGGCGAACCUGCCGAACUCAUGAUGCAACAGCCAGGGAGGGACAAAGGCUGCGACGAACACUCAGGUGGUCUCCAUUACGAGCAUUAAAUUUGUUAAAUACACCAUUCCGCGGCCUACCCCUGGAGGGAGAUGCCUUAAAUUCGUCCAAUCCCUUGCUUUCCGCACUAUUUGUAUCAUUCCGCACUCAUAGCAAAUCUUCUCGAAUAGAAUGCAGCACUUUUUGCCCAUAAUUGCAUUACCUUAUAUAUAUGUUCAUUUACGACAUGUUGCAUCCGUACAUUUUGGUAUGGCCAAAUACACCAGGGGCUUAUGUUCCCCGCAUUAUGGUGUGAUAAAGUCCGCACACUUUCACAAGUGCGGCACCCCGAACUUAUAGCAUUAUAUGAAUCGGCUCCGAAUCAUGUCUUGGGUCAAUAGUUGGGUUUGCCCGGCUCCCAAGUUUGGCACCUUACGUUCCGUUCUAUCGGCUAAGGUAGCACUGGGAGAACCACUGCGAUUGCGCCCCGGUUGAGCCGGGUUAACGCCUCAGUGGAGAAAGCUAAAACUGACUGUCAUGAUAAGGCGAGAGACUGGUCGCUGUUCGAGAGGUCUUUUCGGGUCCUUAAAGACCUACGCCGCUUCGAGCGAAGUACCGGAUAAUGUCCGACGAAGGCGUGGAUAGCGCCCCGAAUUCGGUCUUCUGAAUACUAGGGGCUUCGCGGAAAUUUAAAAUUAUAGAAUUCUAUGGCUAAGUGAGAGUGUUGAAGAACUAUAAGUCCGGUUGCCUUGUUCGUUGUGUUGAGCGCCUCCCUAGAUGGACCCAAAAAUGGGAACAAGAGUGCUCAAGUUUAUCCCGAACACCCCAGCACUCGUGGCAUGGGGGCUGAAGCCGACGACUUGCCAUCUCUCAGAUUUAAUAAAUGGCCGCACAGAAGGUAAUAUUUUAAAUUAACAAGCGUUGCUUAGCGCAUAUGUACAAAGUUUUCAGCGCACAGGAUAACACAUUGAGAAUUUACUCAAUAAUUACAUCCCUGGGGCACUCAUCCGCAAUCUUGCGGGCACCCUUCAGGACAGUCUUAUAGUACAUUUCGGGCGUACGAUAUUCCUUGCCCGCUGGUGGCGCGUCAAUGAUUAGCUUCUCCGCAUCCAGCUUGCCCCAAUGCACCUUUGCGCGGGCAAGGGCCCGACGAGCACCUUCAAUACAGGCGGAGCGCUUGAUAACCUCCACCCAGGGGCACGCAUCCACCAACCGUCGCACGAGGCAGAAGUAGCUCCCAGGCAUGGCCUCUCCAGGCCAUAGCCGGACUAUGAGGCCCUUCACGGCCUGCUUGGCCACCUUGUGGAGCUCGACCAGCUGCUUCAGCUGGUCGCUAGGGGGCACCGGAUGGCCGGCCUCAGCAUACUGAGACCAGAAGACCUUCUCCGUUGAGCUCCCCUCCUCGGCUCGGUAGAAUGCGGUGGCAUCAAACACGCUGCGAGGCAGAUCUGCAAACGCCCCUGGAGAGCUCCGAAUUCGGGUAAGUAACACGUAAUUUACAUUCACAUGCUUGCUUUGCAUGAAAAAUGCCUUACCCGCCGCUAUCUUCCUCACCAACUCAAUCUCCUGAAGGGACUUAUGGGCAUCGGCCUUGGCAGUUUUGGCACUUUCGAGAGCCGAGGCAAGCUCGGACUCUCGAGUCUUUGAGUCACGCUCCAAACUCUCAUGCUUUUCCAUGAGAGCCUGGAGCUCUUGCCGAACCACCGCCACCCGCGCCUCCUGCUUUUCUCGCUCUGCCCGUUCCGCGGCCGCAUUGCGUUCGGCCGCGGACACGGCCUCCUUCAGGGUCACCACCUCGUUCGUGGCCCCUGCAGUACCCAUGUUAUCCUUGUUAUUUUUUGUUGCAACCUAAAUCCUUUUUUGUAAGGUACAAGUUCAAAGUGGUGUUACUCACCUUCUUUGUCCUGGAGCUGCUUCUUGGUGCGGCCAAGCUCUUGCUCGGACCGCUCGAGCUCCUGCUUCAAAGCAUCGACCUCCGCAGUCAGUGCGGCAGAGGUCAGCAGUGCAGCCUGCAACCCAUAUUGACAUAAUUUUUUAGCAACCCUGUGUAUAUCUUUUUUUUCCAGAUCCUCAGUCCGGCUUUUCUUUCCGAACACCGAACCGAGCAUCAGGGGCUACUGUCUAUGUGGUAUUACAUUGCAUAUUUUUAACUUCUUACCUCAAAGCCUGAUAGAAGGCUACUGCAGGCUUCGGUCAGCCCGCUCUUGGCAAGCUGUACCUUCUGAAUCACCGCACUCAUAAUAGUGCGGUGUUCUUCCUCGAUGGAAGCACUCUGCAGCGCCUCCAAAAAAUUGUCUGGCGCCUCCGGUUGGACGGAAGCUGCCAGCGUCAUGGUCUUGCCCUUCGUGCGAAGGGGCCGCCGGCCGGACUCCGGAACCACUGCGGGUUCUGAUGUGGAGUCCGGCGCAAAGUCCGGGAGGCCGCCUUGUGGCGCCUCCGCAGCCUCCCCCUGAUGGGUCCCUUCUUGGGAUCCCACCUCGGCGUCCUCGGCGUCGUGAGGGGUGGAGGCGGUCAGGAUGGAGUCUACAUCCGAUGGAGCCAACGACCCGCUCGAUGAAGCGGGGAGAUCAUGAUUGGCCGGACUACAGGCAGCAUGCGGCAUCAGAAUGACGCUAUGUGAUGCAGAAAAAGAAAUUAUAAAUCAUUCAGGAAUCCGGAUACUUACGAUCUCGCCGGAGGCCUGGCCCUUGAAGGCCAUUCUUCCUCGCCAACGUUGAUGUUGGCGGAGCUGUCCGGGGGAAUAGUCCUUCCCCUCUUGGACCCUUUGGCCUCCCCUGUUGGGGAAGCCUUCCUCUUCCUCUCUCCCUCCUCUGGGAGAGAGUCCUCUUUCUCCUCCUCGUUUUCAGGGGAGGAGUCCGCCCCGGAGUCAUCGGACACCUAAAAACGGGAACUCUUUCGAGCACCCGUGGCCUCCUUCUUGGCCUUCGUCUCUGGCACCACGUGCGGUGCUGGAACAAGCAGCCUCGCUAGAUGGGCGUCUACUGGGUUUUCUGGCAUAGGAGCCGGGCAGAUAAUCUGCUCCGCCUUCCUCAUCCAGUCCUGUCAAAGGAAAAGGGGAAAUUAAAACCCGCAUAGAGUCAAACUAUGAAAAGAAAGUGUCCCGUAAAGGGGUAGAAUCACUUACCUCGUCGGCUUGGCGCUGCGAGCGAAAUCCGCGAUCUUCAGUCGCGGAUGCGGGGGCUUCGGCGCCCUUAAACAGCACCCUCCAGGCGCCUUUGUACGUCGUGUCGAAGAUCUCGCUCAGUACCUGGUGCUGUUCCGGAUUGAACUCCCACAGAUUGAAUGCCCGCUCCUGGCAUGGGAGAAUCCGGCGGACGAGCAUGACUUGGACCACGUUAACCAGCCUGAGCUUCUUCACCAGCUUCUGGAUACAGGCUUGGAGUCCCGGCAGCUCCUCCAAACUACCCCACAACAAGCCCUUCUAUUUCCAGGAGGUGAGCUGCAUGGGGAUACCAGAUCUGAACUCGGGGGUCGCCGCCCACGUAGGGUAGCGCGGCUCGGUGAUAUAGAACCACCCCGAUUUCCACCCCUUGACGGAUUCCACGAAGGCCCCUUCGAACCAAAGGACGUUGGGCAUCUUGCCCAACAUGGCGCCUCCGCACUCCGCUUGAGUGCCCUUCACUACCUUCGGCUUGACAUUGAAGGUCUUGAGCCACAAGCCGAAGUGGGGCUGGAUGCAGAGGAAGGCCUCGCACACGACGAUAAACGCCGAGAUGUUGAGGAUGAAGUUCGGCGCCAGAUCAUGGAAAUCCAGGCCGUAGUAGAACAUGAGCCCCCGGACAAAGGGGUGAAGUGGAAAGCCCAGUCCGCGGAGGAAGUGGGGAAGAAAAAUGACCCUCUCAUGGGGCCUGGGGGUGGGGAUGAGCUGCCCCUCGUCGGGCAGCCGGUGCGCGAUGUCGCCGGACAGGUAGCCGGCGCUGCGCAGUCUUUCGAUGUGCUCCUCCGUAACGGAGGAGGUCAUCCACUUGCCUCCCGCUCCAGACAUGACUGGGGAAGGUUGAGACGAGAUGUGCGGGCUUGGGCGCUGGAGCUCGAGUGCGCGGAGAUGGAUACGCAAAGGCGGAAGAAGGCGUAGGUGAAAAGGUGAAUCCUUAUCCCUUAUAUGGGCGGGCGAAGUCUACGCGCCCCCCCCGGCCUGGUAAAACUCGCCUAUCCCCCAAGCGUCACCAUCAAUGGCACGGUUGGGUUACCCACGUCCGUAUUGAUGAGAAUGCCGGAUUAAGGGGGAACACGAUCUCUGAUUCGACAAGAUGUGCCAAGGAAACCGCUUCGCUAAAUGCGCUGAGGUGGUAGAGUAAAAAACGAUUCAAGUAAUGGCUUGGUAGUGGCGUGACGUCAUGCCACAAAAAGCGUCAGCAGAUUGAACUUGUGUAUAUAUUAUUCUCUCUAUGGUGGAAUCUGGAAUUUAUUUUGCAGAGCCGGACACUAUCCUGGUGUUCACAAUCUUCUAUCAUUCGGAGGAGGAACCCGCCUUGCAAUGCCAAGCAAUAUACGCGUCGGACUUAUCGUCAUUGAAGCCUGGUUCAGGCGCUACUGAGGGAGUCCUGGAUUAGGGGGUGUCCAGAUAGCCGGACUACCAUCAUCAGUCAAACUAUCAUCGGCCGGACUAUCAUCAUCGACCGGACUCCAAGACUAUGAAGAUACAAGAUUGAAGACUUCGUCCCGUGUCCGGAUGGGACUUUCCUUGGCGUGGAAGGCAAGGUUGGCGAUACGGAUACGUAGAUCUCCUACCAUUGUAACCGACUUGAUGUAACCCUAGCCCUCUCCGGUGUCUAUAUAAACCGGAUGGCUCUAGUCCGUAGGACACAACAACAACCAUUACAAUCAUACCAUAGGCUAGCUUCUAGGGUUUAGCCUCCUUGAUCUCAUGGUAGAUCCACUCUUGUAAACAUCCACAAUAUCAAUAUCAAUCAAGCAGGACGUAGGGUUUUACCUCCAUCAAGAGGGCCCGAACCUGGGUAAAACAUCGUGUCCCUUGUCUCCUGUUACCAUCCGCCUAGACGCACAGUUCGGGACCCCCUACCCGAGAUCCGCCGGUUUUGACACUGACAGCUCCCCUUGUGUCGAAUCAAUAAAUUUGGGUUGAAUACUUUACCCUCAAAAACUGUUGCAAUCCCCUAUACUUGUGGGUUAUCACGCAACCACGAUGCACUCCCCUCCACCACGACAGCUGCAGUUGCCAGCUCGUCGGGGCGACGACCAUGAUGACGUAUCCACGACAUCAUCCAAUCCAUGAGCACGUCACGACCAACGUCAAGUUCUUCGGGAACGGCUCAAGGAGGACGCUCGAACUACCAUCGAGCGGCGAUGGGAAGUGCACCACCAAUCUGAUAGGCGUGCGGGUCCCACUACAUACGGGCCUGUGCUAGGGAUUGUGGUAACUUUCCCUAUGCAAUAACCUGUCCAGCAUUUACCCAUGAGCUGCGGCAGUUCCAGUGGCCCACUACCCGCACGUUCAAACCAGAAGUCUUGGAGAAGUACGAUGACAAGACUCAUCCGUCCGAGUUCCUGAGCGUCUACACCAUUGUGAUGCAAGCUACCGGGGCUCGGGAAAGAAAGGUGCUCGCCAACUACUUCUAUGGUGCUCAAACCUAAUGUCAGGUCAUGGUUGAUGCACCUGCCUAUAUAUUCCAUCUCCUCUUGGUCGGAUCUGUGCCAAGAGUUUUUUAGCGCCUUUACUGGCGGCCACGUAGCUCCUGGCCAGGCAAGUGUUUUGCAUGUCAUCCCCCAGAAGGAUGGUGAAUGCUUGCGCAAGUAUAUACAGAGUUUCAGCCGGGUGCAAUAUAACGUCCCAGAUGUUCAUCCCGUCGCUGUCAUCAACACGUUCCAUCAGAAUGUGCACAAUUGUAAGAUGCGUGAAGAGCUGGCGAUGAACAAGGUUGUGGAUGUCGCCGAGCUUUGUGUUCUGGCCGACAGGUGCGCCCGAGCUGAAGAAGGAAGAAAGUACCCCGAUGAGGAUGCCGAUGCGAAAAGUGACUUUGGAGAUGAAGACAUCGUCGCCCUGACAAAGAAGGGUUGACGAUGCAACAUGAAGCGCAAGGGAAAGACUGUGCUUGCCGUCGAGGAAUCCGGCAACCCCGGCAUCGCCAAGAAGGCCAAGGUCGACGACCCCGGCAAGGAGGUUGCCAGGUGCGACGCUUGCCGGGCCUUGGCGGCUGCCGACAAGCUAGAGGGCUCCGACAAGCAAGAUUGCAAGAUUCAUCGCACCAACGGCCAUGACCUCCAAAACUGCCGUCAAGUUGAGCAGUUGAUGGAGAAGCAGAGGGCUGAGUACAAAAGACGAGACAAAGAGAAGGGCCAGGAUGGUGCUGAGGGAUCUGGCAAGAAGCACGGCGGUCGAGGGGGUCGCCACGGCAAGGAUAAGCAACAAGAGAGUCCUACUCGAGGCCAUGACAAGAAAGAGGGGGAUGCCGAUCAUGAUGAUGAUGACGAGUCCAGCGAGCACGAGUUUCAAAAAGUUACGGACGUCAUGGGUGUUGAUGGAGGAACUUUGUUGCAUUAUUCCCACCACCAACUUAAACAGUGGGCACAUGAGAUUAAUGUGACAGAGCCAAUGAUCGACGCCCAGAAGCCACUGGAUUGUUCCAACACGCCUAUCAUUUUUGACGCUGAGGAUCACCCUAAUCGCACAACUGUGGUUAGGUGCUUGUCAUUGUUGGAUUCACCAACAAUCCACAACCUCAAGGUGACAAAAAUGCUAGUUGACGGUGGGGCUGGAUUGAACUUGAUCCCGCCCAACAUGAUCAAGAGGUUACAGAUUCUUGAUGAAGAUCUCGAAGAGACGGGUACAUUUCAAGGGAUCAAUCCAGGGAGAAGCCAGCCUAAUGGAAAGGUCACGCUACCAGUCACAUUUGGUUGUGACCUGAACUACAGGACAGAGAAGAUCAUUUUUGACGUCGCCGAGAUCCCGUUGCCAUAUAAUAGGAUCCUUGGCCGUCCAGCACCGGCCAAGUUUAUGGCGACGUCACACUACGCCUACAACAAGCUGAAGUGGCCUGGCCCGAUGAGCAUCAUCACUGUCGGCUGCGACAAAAGAGAUGCGCUCGUCUAUGCCGACCAACUCUACCAAGAGGCAGUUGCAGCACCUGCCGCCAAAACACUUGCUCCUGCCACUGGAGCUCCCGAGGGGAAGAAGACCGUAAAGGCCUUGACCACCGGCAAGACUUCUUGCCCCGGCAAGGCCUCUUGCACCCACUCCGGAAAACGCACCUCCUUGGAGUGGUGCAUUCCCGAUGAGGACGUGCCAGAGAGCUCCACUGGCAAGAGCAAGAAAUCCAAGGCAGCUCCACCAGAAACCAAGAAGGUACCCGUCAAGGAGGAUGGCAUGGGCGGAGUUUUUACCAUAAGCUCCACCCUUGACAACAAAUAGGAAAGCGCGCUCGUCGCCUUCUUGCGGGUGAAUGUCGAUGUGUUUGCAUGGCAAGCAUCUGACAUCCCCGGCGUUCCCAUGGAGGUGAUUGAGAACCACCUUGUUGUUUGUCCUCAUGCGUGGCCUGUCAAGCAGAAGGUCAGGAAGCAAGCUUUGGAGCGGCAAGAGUUCAUCAUUGAGGAGAUCAUGAAGUUGGAAACGGCAGGCUUGGUCUGAGGAGUGCUCCACCCGACAUGGUUGGUCAAUCCAGUGGUGGUGCACAAGGCAAAUGGGAAAUGGAGGUUGUGUAUUGACUAUACAGAUAUUAAUAAAGCAUGUCCAAAGGAUCCUUUCCCUUUGCCGCGCAUUGACCAGAUAGUGGACUCCACUGCCGGGUGCGACUUGCUAUCGUUCCUCGAUGCCUACUCAGGAUACCACCAAAUCUUCAUGACAAAGGAAGAUAAAGAGAAGACCGCAUUCAUCACCCCAUGUGGUACAUACUGUUUUGUAUGAAUGCCUUUCGGGUUGAAAAGUGCUUGUUCGAUGUUUGCCCGAGCGGUCCAAAUUGGUUUUGAGCCCCAGCUACAUAGAAAUAUGGAAGCUUACAUGGAUGAUGUAGUGGUCAAAACCAAGGACAAAGCAACGCUCAUGCAAUAUUGCAGGAAACAUUUGCAAAUUUGUGCAACAUCAACCUCAAGCUCAACCCUGAGAAGUGUGUGUUCAGCGUCCCAUCCGGCAAACUUCCCAGGUUCUUUGUAUCUCAACGCAGAAUCAAAGUAAAUGCCGACAAGAUCAAGGCGAUUGAGCAGAUUGAGGCGCCAAGAUGAGUCAAGGACAUACGAAGGCUUGCUGGUUGCGUUGCUGCUUUGAGUAGGUUCAUCUCCAAAUCUGCUGAGUGUGCCCUGCCCUUUUUCAAAAUUUUGAAAAAGGCAAGUCCAAUGAAAUGGACUCCAGAAACGGAGGCAGCGCUGAAAGAUUUGAAGGGGUACCUCUCCUCUACGCCAAUACUAGUCGCGCCUAAACCGCAAGAGCUAUUGCUGCUAUAUAUGGCGGCGACGAAUCAAGUGGUCAGUGCUGCACUAGUGACACAGGAAGUUGAGGAAGAAGCAGCGGCGGCAGCGAGACCGUUUGAUGAUGAGCCAGGACCCCCGGCAGAGCCUGGUCCCGGCGAGACAGGAUCUGCGCAAGCAAGCGAAGUGAAACAGAAGAAGAAGAUGAUGCAGCACCCAGUCUACUUUGUCAGCUCCCUCGUUCAGGGGGCUAGAUCAAGAUAUUCUGGUGUGUAGAAGCUGCUCUUCAGCCUUCUUAUGGCCUCAAGAAAGCUGCGUCACUAUUUUGAAGCACAUGAGAUCACCGUUGUCACUCGCUUCCCGUUGCAACGGAUCUUGCACAACCCAGAUGCAACCGGGAGGUUUGUGGAGUGGGCAUUGGAACUGUCAAGCUUUGGUCUCAGGUUUGAAAGCACUUCGACAAUUCAAAGAAGAGCCUUGGAGGAGUUCAUAGCAGAAUGGACCUCAACGCCUGACAAAGAAAUUCAAGAGACUACUCUUCCCGACAAGGAAACGAGCCGUGAUUGGAUUAUGUACUUUGACAGGGCUUUCUCGUUGCAAGGCGCCGGUGCUGGUGUGCUACUUGUCGCACCCACCGGAGAGCGCCUCAAGUACGUAAUCUAGAUGCACUUUCCCCGGGAGAAGUCAAUGAAAAAUACUGCAGAGUAUGAGGGACUGCUUGCCGGUCUUAGGAUUGUGGCAUACCUCGGAAUCAGGAAGCUCAUCAUCAGAGGUGAUUCACAGCUUGUCGUCAAGCAAGUUAACAAAGAUAACCAGAGCCUGUUGAUGGAAGCCUUAGUGAUUUUGGUGUAUUGAAGACUUAUAGGUUAAGGGACUGAUGCGUUUGUGAGUGUACACAGGUAUAUAAGUCAUUGAGGAGUUUGAUAUUUACAUAGAAAGUCGACCCCUAAAAAUGAAGUUCUUCGACUAAAGACUUUGGAUUUCUGAAGACUUUCUGAAGACUUUCAAAGUGAAGAAAUUGGUGUGACCUUGAAGACUUGGAAUUCAUUCGAGGAACAUGAAGCGUGAAGACUUUUGUUUUCGUAGUUUCAUUUUCUCUUUCUUGAGUCAUAGGAAACAUCGUACUGUUAAAGGGGGUCGAGGAAAUACCAAAGAAAAAUUUCCAUGUGAUGCUCAACUCAAAAUCCUACACCUACCAAUCCCCUCGAGUGAAGCCAUUGGAAAUCUCAUACAGUUCAGUCAUUUUCUUCAGUGACAGAGAUGAAGUUCUUCUGGUCUCUGAGGAAUUUGUUGUGACUGAGGAGUUAGGAAUUCGCAAGUGUGGAUUGCCUACACAGUGAGGAACAUGAUAGCCCUGAGGAAUUUGAGAGUCAAUAUUCCGACCGUUGAUGUGCUAUGCGCCAGCUGUCCCAAAAUAUCUACCCACCUAACGGUUAUAUCAUUGAAGGGCUUUUAUGUCUUAUCAUGUCGGGCUGCUCCCUACGCUAUAAAUAGCCGCCCCUACAACCACUAGUUGGUUGGCUGCUCCGAGAGAAACUGACACUUGUCAUUUGAGAGCAUCCCAUCCUCCGAGGACUUUGAGCAAAAAUCAUCAAGUGAGGAAAACCCAAACCCAACACACCUACAAACCCAAAGUGAUUGAGCAUCACUGAAGAGAUUGAUCCUGCGUGGAUCCGACGCUUGUUACCUUGAAGAUUGUGCUUCUUCCAGACGGUUAGGCAUCAUGGUCUAGAGCAUCCAAGAGGAAUUGUGGAUCGCCGAGUGACCGAGUCUGUGAAGGUUUGGAAGUCACUUGAAGACUUACCACGAGUUAUUGGGCGAGGUCUGUGUGACCUUAGCUCAAGGAGAAUACGGUGAGGACUGUGUGUUCGAGACUGUGUGUCCUCAGGUUUAAAUACCUAGCCGCUCCAACCAGACGUACAACUGAGACAACAGUUGGAACUGGUCUACCAAAUCAUUGUCUUCACCAAGCUUACUGGUUCUAUUUCCUCAACUCUUUCAUUUCCUCAUUUAAGUUGUUGUGUGCUUGUUCAUAUCUGUUUGAAGACUUUGACUGAAGACUUUAUCAAUUUCCUCAAUUCAAUUUCUUCAGUCUGUCCGUCUUCAUCCUGUGUUAUCCUGUGUUUACGCUUUCUAUACUCUGUACUUUUCUUCAUUUCAUCAUGAUGACUAUGCUUGUGUUCUGUUAUGUUUACUUCUGAGUAUUUAUUCCGCUGCAAGUAGUUCUUUGCUAAGGCAUUUCCUCACCAGCUAAUUCCUUAGUGAAGAAUUCAUAAAAAUCGCCUAUUCACCCCCCUCUAGUCGAUAUAACACACUUUCAAUUGGUAUCAGAGCAAGGUACUCCCUUGUUCUGUGUGAUUUUGGUUUAACCGCCUAGAGUUUUAGUUAUGUGGAUCGCAUGUAUGGUUAAGGUCUCUACUGGGUGUCCUACCUUUGAUGGGACGGACUACCCCUAUUGGAAGAAUAAGAUGCGAAUGCAUCUUGAGGCAAUUGAUAACGAUCUCUGGUAUGUUGUGGAAAAUGGUGUUCCCUCAGUCACACCUUCUCUGAACGCUACUGAUGUGAAGAGAUUCAAGCAACUCGAUUCUCAAGCGAAGAACAUCAUAUGUGGCCAUCUGAUCAAAGGGAAGUAUGGAAGACUGAGUGCUUUGGAAACUGCUAAGCUUAUCUGGGAUAGGCUAUCCAAAGUGAAUGAAGGAGUCUCAACUCAACGUGACUCUCGUGUCGAUGUUCUUCAUAAUCUCUUCAACCGCUUCAAAAGACUCGACAAUGAAAAUGUUCAACAAACCUUCGAUCGCCUCACUAACAUCUCAAAUGAGUUUCAAGCACUUGGUGCCACUGACAUCACCGACCAUGAGGUGGUGAAGAAAUUGUUGAGAUCGCUUGAUUCUUCAUUUGAUACUCUGGCACUGAUGAUACAAGAACGUGCUGAUUAAAAGUCACUUGAUCCCGCUGAUAUCCUCGAGAGGCUAAACACUCAUGAGUUCCAGCUUGCUGAGAAGAGAGAUCUCUAUGGUUCGAGCUAUGGCAGAUCACGUGCUCUAAAGGCCAAGGCGGUAUCUCAGUAUGAAGAUGAGGACUCUGGUAGCAGCCUUGGUGAUCCUGAUGAACUGAGCCAGGAACUAGCACUGCUCGUGAAGAAAUUUCAAAAGUUCUCAAGACGUGGUCGCUUUGGAAAAUCCUCAAGGAGUAAUGAUUCCUCAUCCAGUGACUACAAGAAGAGGCUAUGCCACAAAUGCAGGAAACCAGGUCACUACAUUCAAGAUUGUCCUCAGUGGGAUAAGGAAUCAAAGAAGAAGAAAUACAAGGAUUACAGUUCUAAUGACGCAAAGAGGAAGAAGAAAUCUUCAAAGUUUUCAUCAUCAAAAUCCUCGAAGUAUCCAUCUCACAAGAAAAUCAUCUCCAAGAAGGCUCGGGCAUUCAUUGGCAAGGAAAUGGAUUCUGAGGCUGAAUCUGAGGAACAUGAGGACGAGGAGGCAUCUGAGGAGUCCGAGUCUGGUGUGGUGAUCCUAGCUCUCGCUACUGCAUUCAUCAGCAAGUCUAUCUUCAACUCUGAAGAAAAUGGCAUCACCAACAAGGCUGAUGAAGGCAAUAAUGACUACGCUCCCACCUAUUGCUUCAUGGCAAAGGGUGCCAAGGUAACUAAAUACGCCUCCUCUGAAUCUAGUGAGGACGAAUCUGAUGAAAACCUCAAGCCUAGCUACUCUAAACUUGCUAAGACUGCUGUGAAACAACAAAAGGCUUUUGAAAAGGUUCAAAACAUGCUAGAAAAAAGUGAUCAUAUGUUGGGUGAAGAAAUGUAUCGCACUAAAACCUUGACUGAAAAUCUUCAGAGACUUCAGUCUUGGUUUGACAACCUUCAAGGUAAUCAUAACAAUCUCUUAUCUGAGCAUGAGAAGCUUUCUUAUGAAUUUCUUCAAAGAAAGCAAGAUCUUGAGAAGCUAAGAGUGAGUUAUGAAGAUCUUCAGAAGGAUCGCGAUUCAUUACUUGCUCAACAAAUCAACGCUACUCAGGAAGAAUUUGUUCCUCCAUGUUUGAAGUGCAUUGAGCGUGCAUCUGCUAAUACCUCACCUGAAUGUUCAAAUGCUUCUAAUGCUACAAAUUCUUCAUCUGUCUCUGCUAUCACUAAUUCCUCAUCUAAGGACAUUGCUAGCAUCACUGAUGAUGCAGGGCUGAAGGAAUUGUACAUGACAGGCAUGUACAAAAGCCUCAAAGGGCAUCAGACUCUUUGUGAUGUGCUUAAAAAGCAGAUCCUCAAUAGGAACCCUAGGAAAGAGGGUAUUGCCUUUGAGAGGAAACUCAAUGCUGAUGGAACUUAUUGGAAGCCUGAGCAGUACCCCAAAACCUCAUGGGUUGCUGCGAAGGGACCUCCAGUUGAUCCAUCCAAUUUAUUUGGCUUUACAUGUGAAUCUCCUCACUCUUCUGAUGAGUCAUUUGACUCCAACUAUAAACUGUUCAAAAAUCAGAAUGGUGAAGUAUUUGCUAGAUAUGUUGGCACUAACUGAAGAAACUGUUCCCCUAUGAAGAAAAUCUGGGUUCCCAAAAGUUGCCUUGAAAGUCUUCAGGUGAAUGUCCUCAUGAUACCACCUGUGAAGAAUAGGAACCCCAGAUCAAAUUCUUCAUAUGGACCGAAUUCUUCAUAUGGAUCCAAGUACUCAUAUGGACCAAAUUCCUCACGUGGAUCAAAUUCCUCAAAAGGAUCAAAGUUCUCAUAUGAUCAUCAUCGUGCUAACUCCUCUGUUUCGCAGGGAAGAGCUAAGGGCUAUGAAUAUGAGCAUUAUUCUUCUAACCAUUAUGUUCAUAAGUCCUCGAAGAAUUUCUCUGCUUAUUCAUAUGCUUAUCCUAACUCCUCUUAUGUGAAACAAAGUGGACUGGCUUCUAUGCCACCUUUCUCAUAUGGAGCUCGCAGAGUGAUGAAUUCUUUGCCACCCCUUCAGAUGUGGGUGGUGAAGAAAAAGAACUAAUCUCUUAUGCAGGGUCAGGUCUCCAGACGCGCGUAAAACGUCUGAAGAAUUUGCUAGAGACCUGAAAACUGCCUGAAAGGACGUAGGCUAAUCAUGAAGAAAUGAGCUUUAAUUUAUCACAUCCUCAUACUAUUUUAUCUGUUCUACUGCUUGAUGAAAUUGAUCUGAUGAUAUUGAUGUCAUAUUCUUCACUGAUGAAGUAUAUGAGUUCGUAAGUUGCACUAAUUCAUCUGCAGGAUGAUCAACCCAAAGCCAAUGAGUGGGUCCUCGAUAGUGGAUGUACGAAUCACAUGACUGGUGACAAGAAUCUAUUGAUGGAUGCUCCCUUAUCACCAUCGCAUCUGAAGCAUAUCAUCUUCGCUGACAAAGGCAAAAGUCAGGUUUUGGGUCUAGGUAAGGUUGCGAUCUCAAAGGGUCGACACAUGGACAAAGUCAUGCUUGUCGAGUCCUUAGGAUACAACCUUAUGUCUGUCUCGAUGCUUUGUGAUCUCGAUAUGGUUGUUGUCUUUGGCAAAUAUCAUUGUGUUGUGAUCAUGGAAGCUGACAAUUCCAAAGUCUUCGAAGGCUUUAGGAGAGGAGACUUGUAUAUUGUUGAUUUCUCUACAGGACCACAACUGGCCGUAUGACUACUUGCAAAAGCUUCAGAAGGCUGGCUAUGGCAUCGACGACUUGGUCAUGCUGCAUGAGGAAUCUGCACACGCUUGCGAAGAAGAAGCAUGUCAUUGGCAUUGAGAAUGUCAAAUUCCUCAAGGAUCAUUUGUGCGGAGCCUGUGAAGCUGGAAAGAUGACCAAGGCCAAACAUCCAGCAAAGACUAUCAUGACUACCACUCGACCAUUUGAAUUGCUUCACAUGGAUCUCUUUGGUCCUAAUCAUUAUUCUGCUGUUACAAAUGAUGCAUCUCUAUAUGGCUUUGUUAUUGUUGAUGAAUAUUCUCGUUACACAUGGGUGCACAUUGUCACUUACAAACAUGAGGUGCAGGAAGUCUUCAAACGAUUUUCCUCGAGGGAUUCAACCAACUUUGGUGUGAAGAUCAAGCACAUCAGAAGUGACAAUGGGACUGAGUUCAAGAAUUCCGGUCUUGAUGACUAUCUUGAUGAACUUGGUAUUACUCAUGAGUUAUCUGCUCCUUAUACUCCUCAGUAGAAUGGCGUCGUGGAGCGCAAGAACAGAACUCUUGUUGAGAUGGCUUGCACUAUGCUUGAUGAAUACAAGAUGCCUCGUCGUUUCUGGAUUGAGGCAAUUGAUAUUGCGUGCCACAUCAUCAACAGAGUAUAUCUUCACAAAUUCUUGAAGAAGACUGCUUAUGAACUCCUCACUGACAAGAAACCCAAUGUGAGUUAUUUCAAAGUCUUUGGUGCUAAAAUGUUGGAUUAGAGAUCCUCAUCACAAUUCUAAAUUUGCACCGAAAGCACAUGAGGGUUUUAUGCUUGGUUACGAAAAGGAAUCGCACACCUACAGAGUCUUCAACAACGUUCUUCACAAAGUUGUUGAAACUGUAGAUGUGCGGUUCGAUGAAACUAAUGGAUUGAUACAUCUCCAACGUAUCUAAAAUUUUUGAUUGUUCCAUGCUAUUAUAUUACCCCUUUUGGAUGUUUAUGGGCUUUAUUUUACACAAUUAUAUCAUUUUUGGGACUAACCUACUAACCGGAGGCCCAACCCGUAUUGCUGUUUUUUUGCCUAUUUCAGUAUUUCGAAGAAAAGGAAUAUCAAACGGAGUCCAAACGGAAUGAAACCUUCAGGAGCGUGAUUUUUGGAACGAACGUGAUCCGGAGAACUUGGAGUGCAAGUCAAGAAGCAAACGAGGCGGCCAGGAGAUAGGAGGGCGCGCCCACCCCUCCUGGGCACGCCCCUGUCUCCUGGGCCCCUCGAGCGGCCACCGACGUACUUCUUCCUCCUAUAUAUACCUACGUACCCCGAAAACGUCUAGGGAGCCACCGAAACACAAUUUCCACCACCGUAACCUUAUGUAUCCGCGAGAUCCCAUCUUGGAGCCUUCGCCGACGCUCCACCGGAGGGGGAAUCGACCAUGGAGGGCUUCUACAUCAACACCAUAGCCCCUCCGAUGAGUUGUGAGUAGUUUACCACAGACCUUUGGGUCCAUAGUUAUUGUCUAGAUGGCUUCUUCUCUCUUUUUGGAUCUCAAUACAAUGUUCUCCCCCUCUCUUGUGGAGAUCUAUUCGAUGUAAACUCUUUUUGCGGUGUGUUUGUCGAGAUCCGAUGAAUUGUGGGUUUAUGAUCAAGUUUAUCUAUGAGAAAUAUUUGAAUCUUCUCUGAAUUCUUUUAUGUAUGAUUGAGUUAUCUUUGCAAGUCUCUUCAAAUUAUCAGUUUGGUUUGGCCUACUAGAUUGAUCUUUCUUGCCAUAGGAGAAGUGCUUAGCUUUGGGUUCAAUCUUGCGGUGUCCUUACCCAGUGACAGAAAGGGUUGCAAGGCACAUAUUGUAUUGUUGCCAUCAAGGAUAAAAAGAUGGGGUUUAUAUCAUAUUGCAUGAGUUUAUCCCUCUACAUCAUGUCAUCUUUCUUAAUGCGUUACUCUAUUAUUAUGAACUUAAUACUCUAGAUGCAUGCUGGAUAGCGGUCGGUGUGUGGAGUAAUAGUAGUAGAUGCAGACAGGAGUCGGUCUACUUGUUGCGGACGUGCUGCCUAUAUGCAUGAUCAUGCCUAGAUAAUCUCAUAAUUAUUCGCCUUUCUAUCAAUUGCUCGACAGUAAUUUGUUCACCCACCGUAAUACUUAUGCUAUCUUGAGAGAAGCCUCUAGUGAAACCUAUGGCCCCCGGGUCUAUCUUUUAUCAUAUAAGCUUUCGAUCUACUUUUAUUUGCAUCUUUACUUUUUGCAUCUAUAUUAUAAAAUACCAAAAAUAUACUUAUCUUAUUAUACUAUCUCUAUCAGAUCUCACCUUCGCAAGUGGCCGUGAAGGGAUUGACAACCCCUUUAUUGCGUUGGUUGCGAGUUCUUUCUUUGUUUGUGUAGGUGCGUGGGACUUUUGAGGAGUCUCCUACUGGAUUGAUACCUUGGUUCCCAAAAACUGAGGGAAAUACUUACGCUACUAUUGCUGCAUCACCCUUUCCUCUUCAAGGAAAACCAACGCAAGCUCAAGACGUAGCAUGGCUCGCAAAGAGAGCACCUACCUUCUGUGAUAGAUGAACCAGCACCUGACGAAUAUAUCAAGUUCAAGGCUACUAAGGAUGUCAUUCCUACCGAAGAAUCUGCUGAAGAAUUCAUUCCAGAACGUGAAGAACGUUGAGCUGGGGCACCUGAAGAAAAUGGUCCUGAAGAAAAUGCGGAUCGAAUUCCUUGACGACAACCCGCUCAUCCUUGCGUUGCAAACGAAGUGCAAAUUGAGAGAAUCAUCGAUCACAUUGAAGCACCAGGUCCUCUCACACGCUCAAAAGCUUCACAUUUGUCUAACUUUUGUGGGCACUUUGCUUUUGUCUCUAUCACAGAGCCCACUAAGGUAGAUGAAGCAUUUCUGGAGCUUGAGUGGAUUCAAGCUAUGCAAGAAGAAUGACAUCAGUUUGAACUCAAAAACGUCUGGGAACUGGUCAAACGUCCAGAUCCUCGUAAGCACAAUAUCAUUGGCACAAAGUGGAUCUACCGCAACAAGCAAGAUGAAAAUGGCCUCGUGGUGAGGAAUAAGGCACGACUUGUAGCUCAAGGCUACACACAGGUUGAAGGAAUUGAUUUUGAUGAAACUUUUGCACCUAUUGCUAGACUUGAGGCUAUUCGCAUAUUACUUGCUUAUGCUAACCAUCAUGAUAUCAUCUUACAACAAAUGGAUGUGAAAAUUGCAUUCCACAAUGGUAAGCUUGAGGAAGAAGUAUAUGUUGCUCAGCCCCCAGGUUUUGAAGAUCCAAAGCAUCCUGACAAAGUCUUCAGACUCAAUAAGGCCCUGUAUGGCCUCAAGCAGGCCCCUCAGGCAUGGUAUGAUACUUUGAAGGAAUUCCUCAUGAAGAAAGGCUUCAAACCCGGUUCACUCGACCCAACUCUUUUCACUAAAUCUUAUGAUGGUAAAUCGUUUGUGUGCCAAAUUUAUGUUGAUGAUAUCAUUUUUGGCUGUACCGACCAACGUUACAGUGAUGAAUUUGCCUAUAUGAUGAGUGAAGAAUAUCAAAUGUCUAUGAUGGGAGAAUUGAAAUUAUUUUUAGGUCUUCAAAUUCAUCAACAGCGCAAUGGCAUAUUCAUAUCUCAGGAGAAAUACCUCAAAGAUGUAUUGAGGAAAUUCGGCAUGCAAGAUUGCAAAGGGGUCAAAAUUCCAAUGCCCACAAGUGGACAUCUAUGCACUGAUGAAAAUGGUAUCGACUUCGAUCAAAAGAAAUACCGCUCCAUGAUUGGCUCUUUAUUGUAUUUAUGUGCAUCUAGGCCAGAUAUUAUGCUUAGUGUUUGCAUGUGUGCCCGAUUUCAAGCUACACCAAAGGAAUCACACCAUAAGGCUGUGAAGCAUAUUCUUCGAUAUCUAGCUCACACACCAACACUUGGUUUAUGGUACCCCAAGGGCUCAGAUUUUGAUUUCAUUGGAUAUUCGGACUCUGACUAUGCUGGUGAUCAUGUGGACCGCAAGUCAACAUCUGGCACAUGCCAUUUCCUCAGACGAUCUUUGGUCUGUUGGUCCUCAAAGAAACAGAACCGCGUAUCACUAUCUUCAGCAGAAGCUGAGUACAUUGUUGCUGGCUCUUGCUGUGCUCAAUUGCUGUGGAUGAAGCAAACUCUCAAGGACUACGACGUCAACAUGAAUAAUGUGCCUCUCUACUGUGACAAUGAGAGUGCAAUCAAGAUUGCUCACAACCCAGUUCAGCACUCGAAGACAAAGCACAUCCAGAUUCGUCAUCAUUUUCUUCAUGAUCAUGUGUGGAAGGGCGACAUCUCCAUUGAGCAUGUACGGACUGAAGAACAACUAGCCGAUAUCUUCACAAAGCCCUUGGAUGAGAAGAGUUUUAGCAAGUUGAAGUGUGAGCUAAAUAUCCUAGAAUCUUCGAAUGUUCUUUGAAAAGGACACUCAUCCUAACACUUAUGCAAAAUUGAUGACUUAGAUGUGCAACACACGAAGAAACGUUUUUCUUCAAUCAAUGAAGACUAACACUCUAAGUGUGAAGAAAUUAACAAAGAAUUUGAUUCUCAAAACCCUACGACAAUUGUACGCGGUGUAUGAAAUCAUCAUUCUUAUACGGUGGGUCACGCCACCACCAAAAGUUGAAAAUCUUCAAUUUGAGUUUUCCUCAGUUGUUCAAAUUCUUCAACUUUGCAUUGUCUCAGUUGUCCUCCU
rnacentral:lncRNA from 1 species